rnacentral:lncRNA from 1 species
CACCAUCACCGGCUUCAUGGGAGGCACAGCAACCAUCAUCAGUCUCCAACAGCUCAAGGGUUUUCUUGGAUUGAAGCAAUUCACUACUAAAACUAAUGUCGUCUCCGUUCUGAAAGCCGUCUUCAAGUUUAGACACCAGGUUUCAAUUCCAAUUCCAUAUCACAGACACCUCUCUUUUUCUUUUAAAUGAAAUCAUUCCAUUUGAAGAUCAUUGGGAGGUUUUGGCAUAUCAAUUCAAACUGCACUUUUAACUUUAUAUUGGUUGUUGAUCAACAAUAAUGGCUUUCCAUUUUCACAACUUUCUGCAGUGGAGAUGGGAGAGUGCGCUAUUAGGCAUAAUCUUCCUUUCUUUCCUCCUCUUCACAGUACAACUGGUAACCUUUCUCUCUUAAUCUCCAUUAUUUUGUCUACAAAAAUGAGCAGAGAAGACACAUGCAAGAACCAACGAGUCAAGUUGGUACUGUAGAAUCAAAAUAAGAAAAAAAAUAAAAUUAAUUUCUACCAUAUAUUUUCAGAGGAAGAAGAAACCACAGCUAUUUUGGGUGUCAGCAGUGGCUCCAAUGGUGACAGUGGUAAUCGGGUGCAUCAUUGCCUAUUUCGCUGACGGGGAUAAACAUGGAAUCCACACUGUAAGUGUUGUUUUCUCGUAUUAUGGGUCAGAUACCAUGGAUAAAGGAGCGUGUGACCAUCACCAUCGCCUUAGGGUUUCGGCCAUGGUUAUCCACCCGCCAGUUUUAUCCGUUAUGCCAAAUUUUUAAAAAUUAGUUCCGCCGUUAUUAUCGGUUACUCUAGGUUCAAUGGGUCAACGAUUCAUAUUUUAAGUCAUUUUGUGAGCUAGAUUUUAUUAUUUUUAACACUUUAAUAAUAAAAUUUUUCAAGUAUUAAAAAUACUAAAAAAAUUUUACUCUAAUUUUUAUAAAUUAAAUUAAAUUAUAAAAAAUAAAAUAAAAAUGAUCACAUGGUAGAAACUUGCGUUAUGCAUUAGUUCCCUAUUUGCUGUGAUGACCUAUUCACACAAAUACCUAAUACCAAACAAAUUGUUAAUUCAACACGCCACGAAAAUUCAUGAUUGUGUUGGGUACCAAAUAUAUGUGGCCGAACAUUUGCAUCGCAGCAUGUGACCGAAAACUUAGGCCAUGUGUGGAAUUGUUUUCAAAAAUGAUUUUCUUCUUUUGGUUUUUAGAAAAAAAAUAAAAGUGACAAGUUUUUUUAGAACAUGUUUUAAUUAUUGUCGAAUUAUUUAUUUAUUUUCACUUAUUUUAUGCUAUUAUUUUAAAAAUUAAUUACAUAAAUAUAAAGAAUAAUUAAAAUAAUAUAUUAUAAAUAAAAAUUAUUUUAAAAAUAAUUAGAAAUGGAGAAAACAAAUUGAGGUGAUGUUUGUUUAUUUGUUUUAUAUUUAAUUUAACUUAAUUUUAAAUAUAAUUUAAUAACAUUAAUAUUAAAUUGUUUUUUAUUAUUUUAUUAUUGUUAAUUAUUAAGUAUUAAUAUGGUGAGAAUUUGUUGAGGUUGUGUUUUAGUUAUUUCAAAAAAUUAUUUUGGGUUUUUUAUUUAAUAAAAAAAAAUUAACUAAGUAAUAAAAGAAAAGUUACACACCAUUUAAAAAUAUUUAUAAAUAGAUUUUUGUUUUAAAAAAUAUUAAAUAAUUAUUUUUUAAUAAAACAUUCCUAAACACACCCUUAAAGUGCUAUUUGAUAAUUGUUCUUGAAAAUACGAAGUAGUUUUAACAAAAAAAACUCAUUUACAACUUAGAAAACAUAUUUGACAUAAAAAAAAUGAUUUUAUUACAAUUUGUUAGCUUUUUUAAUAAUAAUUGAAAAGAUAAAAAAUAUUUUGAAAUUUUUUACAUCAUGCAUAUAUAUAUAUAAAUUUCAUGAAAAAUAAAAAUAGAAUUUUAUCUUAAAAUAAUUGAGAAUUUUCUGAAAAUUAUUAUUAAAAAUUAUUUUUAAAAACAUAGGCAAACAGAACGUCCCUAGAGCGAUGCCAUGCAUCAUCCGUCACAUGGUUUUCACUUUGAGAGGUGUUACACCUUUUCGAACCAACCAUUUCCCAGUUGUGAAUAUGACUCGUCUCUGAUACAAGCUAACAUGAUUUUUUCAAUUUAGUUUUGGGUUUUUGCAAAUGACUCUGGACUGUUUUCUUUUUCCUUUUUUGGAAUGUUUUGGUAAAUUAUUUCUUUGAUGCAUCAAGGAUUCAUGCCAUCAACUAAAAUAUAACACUACUCAUGGUUUUGCUCUUUACUGUAGUCUUGCUAACGUAAAAAAUAUGUCAGGUUGGUCCUUUGAAGAAAGGAUUGAAUCCCAUUUCCAUCUACGAUUUGAACUUCAACUCUGCCUAUAUAAUGGCGCCCAUAAAAGCGGGCUUGCUUACAGGCAUCUUGGCUACAACCGUAAGAGAGCAUUACUCGCAGACAUCUGUUUUGUUUAUGUUGAUUCUCAGUACAUGUUCAGUAAUUUCUUCUCCUUUGCCUUCACUUUUAUUUAAACAUGUGUUGCAGGAAGGGAUAGCAAUAGGAAGGAGCUUUGCCAUGAAGAGAAAUGAGCAAACUGAUGGAAACAAAGAGAUGAUAGCCUUUGGUCUGAUGAACCUUGUUGGAUCUUUCACUUCUUGUUAUUUGACUACUGGCCCAUUUUCAAAAACUGCUGUCAAUUUCAAUGCCGGGGCUAGGACACCAAUGGCCAAUGUAGUGAUGGCACUCUGUAUGAUGCUGAUUCUCCUCUUCUUGGCUCCUGUCUUUCGUUACACCCCUCAGGUAGCUCUCUCUGCCAUUAUCACCGUAGCCAUGCUUGGACUCAUCAAGUACGACGAGGUUUAUCAUCUCUACAAGGUCGACAAGUUUGAUUUCUGUAUUUGCAUGGCUGCAUUUUUGGGAGUCAUCUUCAUUACCAUGGAUAUGGGACUAAUGAUCUCAGUAAGGAUUUCUUCCCACUCCUCUAGUUCCAUAAAAUGUGAAAAUAAUGUAAACAUCCCCAACUUUGUUUCGUUUCAGGUAUGCCUUUCAAUCGUCCGAGCACUUCUCUAUGUGGCUAGGCCUGCUACUUGCAAGCUCGGGAACAUUCCAAACUCAGCACUCUACCGCGACGUAGAGCAAUAUCCUGCUGCAAGCGGGGUCCCGGGCAUCAUAGUUCUUCAACUGGGUUCCCCAAUUUACUUUGCAAAUUGCAUUUACCUUAAAGAAAGGUAGGUGUUCCCAAUAUGUUUUUAGCACUUGUUAACAAAUGCUCACAAUAAUUCAUUUGAUUCGGUCGAAUUUCAACCAGGAUUAUGAGGUGGGUUAGGGAUGAACAAGGCAAUCCGAACUCCAAAACAGCAGAUAUUGAGCAUGUUUUACUAGAUUUGGGAGGUAAAAUUGUUGUCCAUAAGCAUCCUACUAUAAAAUAAUUUGACUUCUCAUUUUUGUACGUAGAACUUUUGGCUAAUACAAGAUCAUAACUUGGGGCAUGUAGGAGUUACCACUAUUGACAUGACAGGCAUCGAAACCCUGGUUGAAAUCCGAAGAAACAUUUUAGCAAAAGGAAUUAAGGUAACCCCCAUGGCAACGUUUUCUCUUUGCUAACAUUCUCAAAAUAUCUUAAUUAAAAAGGUUUAACGUAUGUAUAUACAUGGAUGUAUCUUUUGUAGAUGGGAAUAAUAAACCCCAGAAUCAAUGUGUUGGAGAAGAUGAUGCUUUCCAAAUUCGUGGACCUCAUAGGCAAGGAAUCUAUCUUCUUAUCAGUUGAAGAUGCAGUCAAGACAUGUCAAUUUUCACUCAAUCAAUCGCCUCAGAAGGGUGACUCUUAGGAUGACUGUGUUGCUGCAUUAGUUUAUGAUCUAGAAAUUUGUCAUUGUAGAUUGGACUCGUUCUCUAAUUUUGUGUUUAAAGAAGGAAGAAAUCGAUCUUCCAACCGCAGAGUCAGUUAUUGUGUUGUUCCAAUAAAGAAAAUCUAUUCAUUAGAUAUCUUAUUGCUGCAUAUGCAAUAUUUCCCUGAUUGUGAAGUUGAGAUGGUAUAUAGCAAGUUCUCAAAGCGUAAAUGGGUCUAAUUUUAUAUGUUUUUUUGGUGAACAAAUCAUGGAAAUAAGUUCCAAUAUCAAGCCAUGGAGGGUGGCUUCGGUAAGGCUUAAAGGUUGAAGGGAGAGGUGAAGAGGUGGAGAGGGGGUUGAAUUCUCUUAUAUAUCAUCAAUUGAUGGUUAACACUUUUGGAUGGUGAAUUGGGUGUUGAUGUCUUUGCAAAAAUUUAAUCCUAAUUGAAAUAACUAUUAACAAUGCAAUUGCAAGGAAAAUAAAUAUUAAAAAGAGACGAGAGAUGCAAACAAGAAUUUUAUAGUGAUUCAAUGAUCAUACACUUAGUUUCAAGGCUCCAACCAACCUUUACAGCCACUUGAGUGGUCCAUCACACAAGAUAUAAGAAGGGAAAUCACUCAAAGUUCUCCUUAUGGUUUGCAAUUUGAGACUCAAAUAUAUAAAAUAAUACUAAGAUUAAGAUGUACUAAUCAAGAUUAGCAAGUAAAUGAGUAGGUGCGCUAAAAGAAAAACACUUGAGACUCUUCAAUUUUCUUUAAGAAUGGGUUUAAACCUCCAUAAUGUCAAUUUAAUUUUUAGUGAGGGAUUGCCCCUCUUAGACACUAUGUGGCUCUCCACUUAUUCAGUAUGAUUUGUAGAUGACCAUUAGAACAAGCAAUUCAAUUGAUUAUAUUAUCGUUGAAUAGUUUAGUUGUUAGCUAUCGUUGAAUCAUUCUUCAACCAAUCCACUAGGCAAUCAAUUAGUAAUGCCAUUGAAAUUCCCUUUUUGAAUUUUUGUAAGUCUUGAGCUCUAAAAAAUUGAGGAAUCGACUAGGUACACUUUUAAUGCAUUUUCAAAAACCUUUUAAGCACAAAUUACACUUAUUUGAAGUUGGUUUUCAUUUGAAGCACAAAUAUACUUCCACACUUCCACUUAUCUUGGUUCUUUUUUACCCCGAGAGAUUAUGAUUACAACACCUCCAUGAAUCAUACUACUUCGUAUGAACUUCAUGAUCAACUUCAGUCUCUCUUCCUUAGAUACAAAGAGAGUUAAACAUAAAAAAAAUUUGGUCUUGUAGGCCGUGUCCAUCUUUUGUCUUAGGAGACUAAAACUCUUCUUUCUCAUCAAGCUAAUUUAUUCACUAUUGUUAUAAUUUAUUUUUUAUUGAUGAAAAUUAUUAAUUGAGUUAUUAUUUUAUUAUAUUAUCAUUUUUCAUGGAAAAUAGUUUAUUUAUGAAAAGACAACUAUAUAAUAUAUAUUUGAAAAUUAUUUAAUUAAUAUAUUAGUUAGAUUAAUAACUAUUAUUUAUAUAACUCUCUAAUAUUAAAAAAAUUAAUAUAUUUAAGAAAAAAAUAUUCAAGAUUAAGAGAACAAUUAAUUUAAAUGGAUAAGACCCUACAAGAAAUAGGAUUUUUGGUGACGUCGCCAACCGUCACCAAAUCGUAUAUAUCCGUGACCAAAACCUAUUGUCGCGGUCUUAUGAAACCGUGACCGAGCGUCACAGUAUGAGGCGUAGCUAAAGGUAUUGGUCACGGUCAGGUAAUAAACCGUGACUAUAUGUUUAACCUUUGGUCACAGUCAGUACCCUAACCGUGACUACAUGUAAGUCUAUAGUCACGGUUAAUAAAAAUGACCGUGACUAAAUAUCAACUUUUGGUCACGGUCAAUGCCUCUAACCGUGACCAAAUGUCACCUUUUGGUCACGGUCAAUGCCUCUAACCGUGGCCAAAUGUCAACUUUUCGUCACGGUCAAUGCCACUAACCGUGGCCAAAUGUCAACUUUUGGUCACGGUCAAUGCCUCUAACCGUGACCAAAUGUCAACUUUUUGUCACGGUCAAUGACCCUAACCGUGACCAAAUGCCAACUUUUUGUCACGGUCAAUGCCCCUAAUCGUGACUAAAUAUAGGUAUAUGGUCACAGUAAUUAAGUGACCGUGACUAAACAUUAAGUGUAUUAUGACCGCUAUCCCUAACUUUUGGUGACGAUUCAUUUUAAGCGUGACUAAAAGCACACUUAUGGUCACAAUUUUUUAGUGCCCGUGACUAAAAUAUGUUAUAUUUUGGACAUUGGUUUUUUAUAAAUUAAAAUUUCCCAAACCUGUUAUAAACCCAAACAAACCCAUUUUAGACCUGUAUAUGCAAUUAAACAAUUAAACCAAUUUCAAUAUAUUACAAUCAAUUAUUCCAAGCUAGUUAAAAACUUAUAUAUCAAUAUAAGUCAUUAAAUAAAAAAAACAUAAUAUAACAAAAAAAAAACCAAACAAACAAAAAACAAAGAGAUUCAAAUUUAGUUUCACAUUCUAACAUAAUAUAACAAAUCAACCAACCAAACAUCACAUAAUAGUCAUAGAAAGCAAAAAAAGUUAGGAGAAUCUAUCAUAUAAAUAAGUAGCAUAAUCUUCAAAAAAAAAGUUAAGAGAAUCUAUUAUAUAAAGAUAUAGCAAAAUCUUCAAAUGUCUACUACUUUUGCUGAAAUUGUUGCAUCAUCUGUUCUUGAAUUUGUGCUUGCAUUUUUCUUUGCAUUUCCAUCAUUUUUUCUUCAAACUCUUCUUUCACUUCUUCACGUGUCUUCUUUUGAACUUCUAUCAACCUCUCUUCAAAUGUUUCUUUCACAUGUGAGAGUUCAUCUUUCACAUUUGAGAGUUCUUCAGUUGCAGUUGUAAACUUUUGUUCUGCAGCUAUUAGCAUCUCUUGGGCAUUUUCAAGUUGUGUUGAAAGAAUAACUCCUGAUCGUCUCCUACUAGUAGAACCAAAGAUUGAGGUAGGAGUAGGACCAAAUCCAUACCCUCGAACACGACCAUGCCUCUGGACCCAUGACUUGAGUAUAUAUCUCAUCUACAUAUGUAGAUGCUACAGAUGUAGAUGCUCCAGAUGAUGCAGAAGUAGAAGAAGAUGUCCCCUCAGGUUGAGAUAGUAAUUGUUGAAAUUGAUCCUGGAAUUAUAAAAAAUAAAAAAUUGUUAGACUUUUAAAAUAAUUUAGUAUGAGGCUAUGACUGAAAUACAAGUAUAUAAAAUUUAUUUACUUCAUUACCAUAAUCUCCUUAGAAUGAUCAUCAACAGGCGUCCCAUCUUUUCUUGUGUGUGUCAGGGCAAACAUCUCAAUUCUAUUGGGCUCACUUCGAUCCUCCUUCUUUUGUGCCUAUUCUUAUAAGUAAAACAAUUGAGUUAUUUAUGAUGAAUUAUUUAUGUACAAACAAAUCAUAUUAAUAAUAAAUUUCAACCUGUUCAUAUCGAAUUUGAGCAUAACUUUUUGAUCCCGAUGUAUGCUUUAUCACUUGUUUUGCCCUAUUUGCCUUGUUUUUUUAUGAGAUAUCCUACAUCAAUUAAAAAAUAGCAAGUUACCUAUAUAGGUAAUAGAAACAUAAUAAAAGUUAUAUACAUGAAGUAUUAGGUUAGAUAUAACUAAUAAAUAUCAUUUUAUGUGAAUAUGAGUAUCAUAAGAUACAUUAUCAAGAAAAGAUCAUUAUCUUUACCUUGGCCUCAGGUGUACCCCAAAAGUGGAUGAGCCACCUCCAAUCAUCAUCCGAUAAGUGUGGAGGUCGAUGACACAAUCUCUCCUCAUCUGUAUUAUAAGGGUUAUAAUACUUGGCCUUCAUUUUAUUUCAUAAUUCUAAUUUAUAAAAUUUCUUUAAUCAUGUAAGUUUGGAUGCAUUGAGGGAUUUACUUUAACUUUAAUUAAUCCACCAUUGCAAUCUAGUUUGCACCACUAUUGUAAAUUUCUUUAUUUAUUUUAGGAUGGAAAUGAUUUGACUAUGACAUGAUGUCAUGCCACAUGGAAAAUCAUNNNNNNNNNNNNNNNNNNNNNNNNNNNNNNNNNNNNNNNNNNNNNNNNNNNNNNNNNNNNNNNNNNNNNNNNNNNNNNNNNNNNNNNNNNNNNNNNNNNNAAACUCAAAGCUACAAAAACAAAGAAAAAACAACAUUGUUGGAAACUAAUCAAAUUUUCAACACAAUAAUUAAACCCAAUGGAAAUAGGCAAUUGAAGAGAAUGCAACAAACAAAAGAAAAAUUCUUUCAUUACACAGUAACAAUGGAAAUAAACCCAAUAACAAUGAAAUCAGAAUUAAAUCAUAGAAAAAAUAGAGAGAGAAACUAGAGAGAAAUUAUACCUUAGGAAGUAAUUAAGUGUGGUUUUUCCAAAAGCACCAAAACCCUAUAACAAUGGAAAUAAACCCGAUAAAAUGAAAAUAAACCCAAUAACAAUGGAAUCUCAAACCUAAUCACAAACAUUUCCAAAAUACCAAUUAACAAAACUCAAAAAAAAAAAAAAAUCCCAAAACUCACCAAAACCUAGAGAGAAACGAUUUUUACGGGAGUUUCUUGGAGGUGGCUUUGGCUUUACGGACCAUAGCUUCCAUGGGGCUUCUUCGGCAUGGCUUCCAUAAGCUUUUUCCGGAAAUGGCUUCCUCCAAGCAAUGGGGGCUGUGGGUAGAUUUUGUGGGUUUUAUGGCCGUGGGUUUUGGAGAGGAAGAGAAAUUGAGUUUUGUUGGCAGAAGAGAGGGGCUUUUAUAUUGGAAAUGUUUGGGAGAAGGCUUUUACUCAAUGGUUAAAUGGGUUAAAAAAACGUUGCCUGUGUCUUUGAUAUUGGAAAGUCAAUGGUUAAGGCCCACAUAGUUAAAUAUUAUAUUGGAAAGUGAUAUAUUAUAUUGGAAAGUAUGUGAGACUUUAUAUUCAUGGCUUUAUAUAUGGUUAUUAUCAAAUCUCAUUUUAACAUUUUAAGAGUUAAAAUGUUGGCCGUGGUUAUUAUCAAUUAUUUUAAAAUUUUAAAUUUACAAUUAUUUUAAAAUUUAAAAUUAAUUUUGAAAGUUCAAUGUUUUACUCAAAGUGUUGCUUUAAAAUUUUUAUUAAGUUUUAUAAAGUUUUUCAAUUUUUAAAAUUAUCAAGUUUAAAAUUUAAAAAUUUUAUAUUAGAAAUUUAUCAAGUAUUAUAUUUUAAAUUUUUUUAUCAAGUUUUAAAAUUUUAAAUUUUACAAUUAUGUAUGAGAAAAUUAUCAAGUUUUAUAUUUUAAAAUUGUUAUUUUCAAAGUUUUAUCAAGUUUUAAAAUUUUAAAAUUUUAUAUUAGAAAUUUAUCAAGUUCUAUAUUUUAAAAUUUUAAUAGUUAAACAUGUUUAGUAAAUUUAAGUUUACUAAAAAAGAAAUAACUGCUCUUAGUGAUGUUAAUAUUAAUGAUGAUAAAAUUUAAUAAAAUCUUCUAAUAAUAACUUAUCUUAUUAUAAAACCUAUUAUUUAUCAUAUAUAAAAUGUUCUUUUUCUAAAAUAAUUCAAAGGUAUAGGCAGUGUUUGCUAACGAGCUUUUAAUUAUAACAAUUUUUUAUUCUUAAUAAUAAAUAAAUAAAUAAGUAAACCAUAGAGGGGAAAAAAAAUUUUGUUCUUAAAAACAAAAAAUAAGAUAUUUUAAAAAAAUAUUAAUAUUUUUAGUUAUCUUAAAUUGUUUUCACUUAUUAGAGUAAAAGAUAUUUUCAAAAAUAAUUAUAUAAAUACAAAGAAUAAUCAAAAAUAAAAUAUAACAUAUAAAAGUUAUUUUUUAAACAUAUUUAAAAACAUAAAAAAUAUAUUGAAAAUAUUAUAGGUUUCUAAAUCGACUUUUAUUUUAAAAUACAUCCGCUAACAAAAUUUUCAAAAUGUUUUAAAAAACUGUUUUUUGUAUAACUGUUUAUGAAAAUGUCAAAAUACUUCACAAAUAAAACUAUAAUUUAUUAGUAUUUUUGUGGGCCUUAGGUGCUAGGAAAUGUUACAUGUGCAUUCUACUCCUACUCUGUCUUCAUUAUUUUCAGUCACGUGUCUCUUUAUAUCUUAUACCAAUCUAUUAUUAUUUUAUCAUAUGGUAUCAUUUUUUUCAUAUUUAAUGAUAUUAAUUUCUACCUUAUCCCAUAUGCUUGUAGCUUAAUUUCAUCAUACAUUUGGACAACAGAAUUUCAGACUUCCAUUUGGUACUAAAUAUAAUAAACAUAAACAAAGAAUGGUGCGUUUAAGAAUAUUUUUCCAUGAAUUUUAACUUUAUAAAUUUGUUAAUUUUACAAAUUUAAGAAUUAUAAAAGUUUAGAACUUUUAUUUUUAAUCAUAAACAAAGAAUGUUAUUUUUGUAGUUAUAAACUAUUUCUGUAUUGCAAAAAUCAUAAAGAUUAAAAAAUAUUUUAUGAUUGAAAAUUAAAUAAAACUAUAAACAAUUUUACUAGUAAUUGUUAGUAGUAAAAUUUAUUUAUCACGACUAUUGAUACUUUAAAUAUAAUAAGAAUUAUUUAUCAUAUAUAAAAUCAAAAUUGUUUUUAAUUUGCUAACUCACUUGCAUUUAAACUUUUUAUCAAAUAAUAUCAAAUUGAACCAUCAUAUUUUUAAACUAACAUAUUAAACUUUAUUUUGCUUCUUAUUAAAACAUUAAUCAUAACAAGGAAAUUAAAUAAUUUUAACUAAAGAAAAAUAGGUAACACACUAAUUUGUUUCUUAACUUAAAAAAAAUAUAGUAAUAUAACUUUAAACUUUUUAUAAUUAAUAAGAACUAUUAUUAUUACUAUUAAUGAUAAUUUCUAUUUAUGAUAUAUAUAUAUAUAUGUAUAUAUAUAUAUAUAUAUAUAUAAUUUUCUAAAAAAUUAUAAUAGAUAACCCAAAAAAUGGUUCAAAAUAAAUAAUAGACUUUUGGUCACGAUUAUGUGAACCCCGUGACCAUAGGUUCAAAAUAUUUAAAAUAAACCUCUAUGCAUUUGGUCACGGUCAUGAGAAAUUCGUGACUAUAGCUUCCCCUACAGUCACGGUCAAUCAAUGGCGUGACUAAAAGUCACAAUAUAUAUAUGGUCACGGUUUUACAAAAAACCGUGACUAAAACAUCUUUUCGUUACACUUUUUGUCACGGAUGAUAAAAUUACCGUGACUAAAAUUAUUGGCGCCAAAAUUUCCCUCCAUAAAUUUACAAAUAGUCACGGUUUCAAAAAAAUCCGUGACUAAAAUACCCUCUCAUCAAUACUUUUGGUGACGGUUGAUAAAAUCACCGUGACUAAACAUAUUUUUUUUUCCACAUUAACACAUUUAGUCACAACUUUAUCCUGGCCGUGACAAAAUAAUAUCUUUGGUCACUAUAUUUGUGGCCGUGACCAAAGAUUCGUCACUAAAAACCUAUUUUUUUGUAGAGAACUUAUUUAUGAUAAGACAACUAUAUAUAUAUAUAUAUAUAUAUGCAAUUAAAAAUAUUUGUUUUUUUAAGAGUAAAUUAGUUUUUUUAUUUUUUAUUUCUUAAAGACAAAGAAAAUUUAACUUAUUUAAGAAGUGUAUCACUUGUAUUGAUCUGAAUGGGUGUUUUUCCCAAUUAUGACCAACCGGACCGAAGUCAUGCUAAAGCUAGUAUCAAAGAUAGAAUAAAAAAGGUCUACCCUUUGAUUCUUUCUAUACCAAUGCUGUUUAAAUUGAUGUUGAAAGUAGCAUUAAAGAUAAAUUAAUGAGAUUUUUUCAUUGAAUUUUUUUAUGCUGAUGAAUGCCUUAUUGUAUAGGGAGAAUUUUAUCUCUGUCCGAGAUAGUAUUUGUAUUGAAACAAAAAGAUUUAUCUCUUAAAUCUUUUAAUAUCAAUGAAUGUUUUCUCAUACAAGGAGAAAGCUUAUUUAUAGCCAACGAAGAUGUCAAGAUAUUAGUUAAUUGAUACUCAUUGAAUCCUUCUAUCAAUGUUGAUGAAUGAGCACACAAAGUAAUGUGUUGCGUGAAUGAAAAAUUAUUCUCUUUUACUUACUAUAUUGUUAUAAGAGAACACUGAUACAUAGAAAGGGAUGAAUAUAGAUUUUUUCGGUGUCCAUGUUCGUGUAUGAAGAUUGGUUUUUCUUUCAUGUUAUUUUGAAUUAAAAAGACAAUAAAUAACUUAUAAAAUCAAAUUUCUAUUAAGAAAAAUCCAAAAUACAAUAUUUUGAUUUUCUUUGUACUAAAGAAUACGAAAUUCCAUCUUUUGAGUUAAUCUUGAUUGAAGGAUGAAAGUCACAUGUGUAUUAAAUCGGGUGCAAUCUUAAUCUAAAGCUUGUUAUAAGUUUAAUCUUUUGUCUCGGGGGGUGAAAGAAAGAUAUUUGCUUUUGUUUGGUUUUUUCUAUGAAUUUGUAAAACUUACGCUUGUAAGAACUAUUUAUCCUAAUUAAAGAUUGUGGUUAAUUUAUUUUGAAGUAGAAAAAAGCUCCUUUAUUUAUAAGGCAAAUUGGAUAAUAUUUGUUUUUUUUUUUUUGCACACUUGGAAAUUGACAAUAUUACUAGAAGAAAUUCUCUUAAUAUAAUUUGGGCCACCAAAAAUUUUUGGAAUCUUAAUUUAUAUAAAAUAUAUUUAAUUGAACAUUAAAUGUUUUUAAAUAAAAUUAUGAUUUAAUUGUGUUAAAAAAAUUAUAAAAUAAAAAGAUUUUUUCUUCAUGUAAAAAUUUUAAAAAUAAAUAAAAGGGACAAUUGUCUUUUGGACUUAGUUGAGUAUAAAAAUUAAGAUUUGACCCAUAAAAAUUGCAUAAUUGAUGGAGAUGAUAUAAAAUAUAAAGAGACUAAUAUUCAUUUCAAAAUUAUUUUCUACCAUAAUAUUUGAGAAGCUUUUUUAUCUUAAUUUUUUAAAUAAUUAUUCUGAAAAUUUAUUAUUUUUAGAAAACUAUUUUUUUUUAAAAAACAUAUUAUAAAAAUAUAUCAUUUAAAAAAAUUAAUUUGAUAUAUUUUCAGUUAUUUUUUAUAUACACAAUUUUAAAAAUAUAUAUUUUUCAAGAUGUUUUAUUUUUAAAUAAUAAUAAUUUAUUAUUAUUAUUUUUUUAAAUGAUGCAUUUUUUUCCAAAUUACUAAAUUAUAUUAAAUUUAUUGAGGUUUGCAAAAAGAAUAAAAUUUAAAUUAAUGUUUUUCUACUUUUUUUUUUUUAUAUAGUCAAUAAAAGUCAUUUUUGAAAAGAUAAAAACUUCAUAUCAUUUUUCUCAAUUUUUAUAUUUUCUCUAAGUCUUAUGUUUAAAUAGUCAACUUAUAUGACCAUAAGUUUUGAGGCCAACCAGGUCGUCCCAUGAUCAAAUCCCAUCCGCACGGAAUGGGCUAAAGCUUGAGCCUGGAUUUCACAUUGGCCUGAAAAUAUCUGGGUCCAUAGACUCAAAUGAAAAACAAAACCCAUCGGGCUAUCACCCUUUGCCACGCUCCCUCGCUUCCUCCCUCCCUCCCUCUGUCCCUUCUUCCUUGCGAGCGCUCUCCAAAGUAGGCUUAUCACCGACUGCUUCGUCGUUUCGAUCUCCCAAUCCAUCAUCUUGGCUUGAUAACUAGGGUUCUCGCUCACGGUCUUCUUUCUUCGCAUCAACUUCAUCAAUCAAGAACCGUAGUUUCUCUCACCUGUAAAAAUGGUAACGGUUACUUUUUUCUUCUCUUUUGAGUGAUUAGAUCUGGUUUUAGGUUUCUCUGUUUUUCGAUAAUAUACAGUUCAGAUUAUUCUCUUCUAUAUGUUCCGUUUGGUUGUUGAGAAAAUGCGGGAAAGGAAAUGAAAAAAUUAAAAUUUUGCGCCAGUCUGAAAACGAAAUCCUUUACUUGUCAAUCUUAAUACCAAUUAUGUACUUUAGUUUUAGUGAAUUUUAUUUUUCGGAAACCAAAACAAUUGAACUGUAAGAGUUAAAGUUGUAUUUUAUUUUUCCUUUUCAUCGGAUUUCUCAGCAACCUAACGAAGGACUACUUGAAUAAGUUAUCAGUUACUGCUAUAAACAGUCGAGUUAGGAUCAGAUAGCUGGUUUCGAAAGUUUUUGAAAUUUUCUUGGUGUAUGGUCUAAUUUAAUUUUCUGUUUUCUCUUUCACAUUAUUUGCAGCCUCUCAGACUUGAAAUUAAGGUAUUUAUGUUCAUCCACUUGAAUUUAUCUUGUUAGGCUAAUAAAUGUUUCCAUGCUUUGUAAUCCAGUUAUAUCUUUAGUUUUCAAAAGUUGUAGCGUUUAGCUAACAAUGACCUGUUGAUCAGAGAAAACUUGCACAAAGAUCUGAAAGAGUAAAAUCAGUGGAUCUACAUCCAACUGAACCAUGGUAAUUUUCCUCAUCUUCACUUCGUUAAUUUGAGUUUGUCUCCCUUAGGUCAAAAAAUAUAACGCUGCAUUUUUAAGCUUUUAGACAAUGUUUAUAGAAAAUUUUGCAAUUACAAGAUGCUGCAUGCAGGAUCCUUGCAAGUCUUUAUUCUGGAACUGUGUGCAUUUAUGAUUACCUGUCACAGGUAUGUAAUAUUGUUUAAUUGUUUCAUCCCAUACUCAUUACCAUGCUACUUGCAUUUACCCUAUUUCUAAGUUUUAAAUGUUGGCAAAGUAGCUUACCGCUAAAUUGUUUUAGUUACUUUACUGCACUAACCUUGGCUGCUUGGAAUAAGAAAUUGCAUGUGACAUUAAAAAUGUUUUUGGCCCAUCAUGGCCAGUAUACAUAUCACCGUCUUGGUGCAUCUCUCCAAUUUUUUGUUUAUCGAGAGCAUAGUAGGUUUUUUAAAGGGGCCUGAUGCAAUUAGGUGGUAAAUUCCACUCCUUGAUGCAGGAAAAUUCAGCCAAAUGGACCUACAAAUCAACUUAAGCCUAGAUUUUGUUUUUAUUCUUUAUUCUAGUUUUUGUAGAUUGCUAUCAAUAUUGUUGUCAGGUGUAUAUAAUGUGAAUUGGUAGGGUUUAAGAUGUAUAUCCAUUUGUCCUCAUGGUGCUCUUUUUUCAACUUUUUCGAUGUCUAAUUCUUGCUAUCUUUUGUGUUUAUUAGAUACUCUAGCCAAAUAUUAAACAAGCAUUUUUAAGAAAAAAAUAAUUAUUAUAAAUAAAAAUACAAUGAUUUCAUUGCAUUGAAAUGUUAAGUACAAAGAAGGAUGAGAAAUCCUUCCCAAAAGUACACAAUCCUCUAUACAAAGUCUGAUAAAAAAAAUCGAAUAAAUGUAUACUAGUUCAAAAGGUCAAAUCUAGCUAUGAUUUAUAGAGUAUAAAAUCUCCUACAAAAGCAACUAUAUUAAAAACGCUAGAGAAACGACACAACAAAGUACACAAGACAUAUACAAGUCACGCCAAAAAGUGCAAAGAAUCAGCAAGACCACAAAAAACCAAGGCUCUCUCUUAACAAGGGCCCAACCACUCUACAAAAUCAAAUAAAGGCACAAAACCUGUCUCUAUGUACACCUUCACCCAAAAAAACAAAAUACUAAGGAAAGAAGACUUCAAAAAGUGGUCUGGAUGCUCUUCGUUAUCAAACGACCUUUGAUUCAUUUCCUUCCAAACAAUCCAAAAAAUAUACAAAGGAGCCGCUUUCCAAACUUUCUUGCAUCUUUUAUCCACAAAAGGCCACUCCACCUUAUAAGAGCCUCCUUAAUUGUAGGAGGUUGUAUCCAAUGGAUUCCAAAAAUAGCAAACAACAAAUCCCAUAGAACCCUAGCCUUGGAACAAUGGAGGAUAAUAUGAUCUAUAGAUUCUUCCUCUUCUUUACAAAGAAAACAUCUAUUUACCAUACUCUACCCUUGUCUUUGAAGUUAAUUAAUUGCCAAAGCUUUUCCUAAGUUAGCCUCCCAUACCAAGAAGCUAACUUUAGAAGGCACCUAAGAGUCCUAAACCACACUUUGGUAAGUUAAAUGUUCCCCCCGGUUCUAGCGCGUCAUAUAAGAGCUUAAUGAAAAACUUGUUAUUGCUUGAGUUCAUCCACACCACCUUAUCUUCCUCCUCACUAACAACUACCUCCUCUUUUAGCCUUAAGAAAAGCUCCUCUACGAUGUCCAGCUUCCAAUCAUUUAAAAGUCUAGAGAAACAAAGGUUCCAAUGGCCUUUUUCCUCUUCAUGAACCUAUAAGCAUGCAACUCAUGUCUCUUUUGAAAUAGCUAAGGCAUAUAAAGAAGGAAAUGAACAUUUCAACAGUUCAUCCUCACACCAUUUAUCCUUUCAAAAUUUACCUUCUUCCAUUAUCCAUCAAAAAAGAAGAAUUACAAUGGAAACCAUUCCAUUCCUUCUUGAUAGACUUUCAAAGCCCCACACCAUACCCAACUCUAACUUCGCAGGAUUGCCAAUUGCCCUCUUCCUCCCCAAUCUCCAUAUUUACCACUAAUGACUUGAUUCCAGAAGGCUCCUCUUUCUAUUGCAAACCACCAAUUCCAUUUGCAUAAAAGCGCCUUAUUCAACAAAGAAAGAUGUCUGAUACCUAACCCCCUUUUCUCAUUUUUGUACACAUUGUCGACCAAUUCACAAGAUGGAUCUUAUUCUCCAACGCUCCCCGUCCCUAGAGGAAAUCUCUUUAAAUUUUUUCCAACCUUAGCUUGACUUUUCUUAGAAUAUUGAAUAAAGACAUAAAAUAUAUGGGAAGGUUAGAUAAAGUACCCUUGAUUAACGUAAGCCUUCCUUCUUAGAGAUGUAUCACAUUUUCCACAUUAAGAGUCUUUUACAAAACCUUUCUUCCACCCCACCCUAAGUUGCCACUGAUCUCAAGGGAGCACCCAAAGGCAGACCAAGGUAGAUAGCUAGGCGUUUGCCUUCUUUGCACCCUAAUUCUUCCAUCAACUCCUCUAAAUGGUCCACUCUACCAAUAAAAAUUAACUCAUUUUUAUUUAGAUUAAUUUUCAGCCCCAGUAGAGCUUCGAACAACAUAAGCAACCAACUUAGGUGAACUGUUUGAUCUUGGGAAGCCUCAUAAAAAACAAGAGUGUCGUAUGCAAACAACAAAUGUGACACCUCCUCCCCUACACCACCUUCGUCCCUCACCUUAACACCCAUAAGAUAACAACCCUCCUUAGCUCUCUUAAGGAGAUAACUAUUAGCCUCCAUCACAAUAAAAAAUAAAUAUGGAGACAAGGGGUCUUCUUGUCUCAAACCUUUAGAACUAUGGAAAAAACCCGAAGGAAUAUCGUUCACAAUCACUGCAAACCUUGCUGAGGAGAUACACCACUAAAUCCAUCCUAUUCAUUUCCAACCAAAAUUCAUCUUCUCAAGCACGGAGAUUGAGAAAUUCCAAUUAACACAAUCAUACACCUUUUCAAUGUCUAACUUACACAAGACCCCACAUUCAUUACUCUUCAUCAUAGAGUCUAUGACUUCAUUUGCUAUUAACAUCAUGUCAAGAAUCUAUCUACCCUCUACAAAAGCGUUCUAUGACACCAAGAUCACCUUACCCACUUCUUUCUUAAGUCUCUUAGUUAAGACUUUUGCUAAGAUUUUAUACAAAUUGUCUGCCAAACUAAUAGGCCUAAAAUCUUUAAGAUCCUUUGCUCCCCCUUUUUUUUUUGGAUUAACACUAAAAAUGUAGCAUUGAGACUUUUCUCAAACCUCCUAGGGACAAAGCAUCGAGCUCGGAUGGAUUCUCUUUAGUGUUUUGGCAGUUUAGUUGGGAAUUCGUGGAAGACAAGGAUAUGAGGUUCUUCAAAGAAUUCCAUGAGCAUGAAAGAUUUGUAAGGAGCUUGAAUGCUACAUUCCUGGUUUUAGUCCUAUAAAAAAGGAGAGGUUGAAGACCUUAGAGACUUUAAACCUAUUAGUUUGGUGGGAGGCCUAUACAAGCUGUUGGCAAAGGUUUUAUAGGCUGAAGAAGGUGGUAGGUAAGGUGGUGUCUUCAUCCCAAAAUGCUUUCGUUGAGGGAAGACAAAUCCUUGAUGUUGCGUUAAUUGCUAAUGAGGUUAUAGAUUCUUUGCUAAAAAGUGAUGAGAGUGGUGUGUUGUGCAAACUUAACAUAGAGAAGACAUAUGACCAUUUAAAUUGGGAUUUUCUACUUCUGGUGAUGCAAAAAAUGGGCUUCGGGGAGAAGUGGGUAGGCUAGAUAAGGUGGUGUAUUUCUACCGCGAUGUUCUUGGGUUUCUUUCACAACACUAGGAGGAUUAAGGCAAGAGGAUCCUCUUUCACCCUAUUUAUUUGUGAUUGGGAUGGAGGCUUUAAGUAGCCUAAUCAAUAAAGCAAUGAGUGGAGGUUUUUUUUCCAAUUGUAGGGUGAAGAGGAGGGGUGGAAUUGGGACUGUAAUUACUUAUUUGUUGUUUGUUGAUGAUACGCUCUUUUUUUUGUGAGACUUCUCAAGACCAAAUGGCUUACUUGAGCUGGUUACUAAAGUUGUUUUGAAGCCAUUUCUGGUUUGAGAAUCAAUUUGGAAAAAAGUGUGAUUUUACUGGUGGUAAGGAUGGAAAAUGCAGAGAUUUUGGCUCUUGAGCUCAGGUGCAAGGUGGGGGUGCUCCUUACCUCUUAUUUAGGGCUUCCCUUAGGUGCUCUGUACAAAUCAGUAGCGGUUUGGUAUGGGGUGGAGGAGAGCUUUCGUAAGAGGUUAGCCAUAUGGGAAAGACAAUUUAUAUCUAAAGGAGGAAGGUUUACUCUCAUUCAAAGCACCUUGUUUAGUAUGCCCAUUUACUUCAUAUCAUUGUUAUGCAUUUUAAGACUGGUUAGAUUGAGAUUAGAGUAGAUCCAGAGAGACUUUCUUUGGGGCAGGUGAGCUUUGGAGUAGAAGUCCCAUCUUGUAAGGUGGGCGGUUGUUUGUUUAGAUAAAAGUGAGGGUGGUUUGGGUGUUAGAUGCCUCUUGACAAUACAAGGGAAGAGGGUUUGUACAAAUUUGGAGGAUAGAGUGCUUUGGAAAAAGACUAAAGAUGGUAAAUUUUUUGUUAAGUCCUUUAAGGUGCAUUGGAGCCUGGAUUUGCAAUCCUGUUUUUGAGGAGCAUCAUUUGGAGCCUUUGUGAUCCUCCCAAAGUGGGUUUUUUUGCUUGGGAAGCUUCGUGGGGUAAAACCUUAACUUUGGAUCAACUGAAGAGGAGGGGGUGAUCCCUAGCUAGCAGAUGUUCCCUUUGUCUUGUCGAAGAAGAGUCUAUUGAUCACAUUCUUAUCCAUUGCACUAAGUGUAAGGUUUUGUAGGAGUUGUUAUUUGCUCUUUUUGGUGUGACUAGGUACUUUUUUGUUGGUUAGAGAGACUUUCCUUGGUUGACAUGGUUCCUUCAUGGGCAAGAAACGUAAAAAGGCUUGGAUGACGGCUCCCUUAUGUCUUUUUUGAAUAGUUUGGAAGGAAAAAAACAGGGUUGCCUUCGAUAAUGAGGAAAUUUUGAUUCACGAUUCAUAGGAUGAAGAAUUCUUUUGUAUAUAGUUUUUGGUCUUGGACUAGGAUGUUUAUAGAUGAAGGUCCUUUACCUUUAAUCAAUUUUUUUGAGUAGUUGGGUUCUAGAUGAGGGCGGGUGAGAUUUUUUGUUUCAUCUCUUCUUUUUUGUUUAUGCCUUUAGGUGCCUAUUGUAUACUUCUUGUAUGCUAUGAGAUGGCCUUUGGGCGCCCUUUUUUCUUUAUUUAUAAUAUUUUUCUGCGCUUUUACCUAUAUAAAAAAAAAAACUUUUCUCAAAUCUCCCAUGGUCAUAAAAAUCUCUUAAGAAACCCCAUCAUGUCAUCCUUCACAAAAUCUCAACUGAAAUGCCAAAAAGCCAAGGAAAACCCAUCUUGACUUGGAGCCUUGUCCCCAUUUAACCCUUAUAAGGCGCUGAAAACCUUCUCCUUAGAAAAUGGUUCAUCCAACCUUUCUGUCUCUUCCACCUCUAAAACUUUAAAAUCUAAAGCAUUGAUGGAAGGUCUCCACUUUUCUAGAUUAAAUAAAAGAGUGUUGUAAGCCCUGACCACCCUUUCCCUUAUCCCAUUCUCCUCAUAGAACCAUACCCCGUUAAUUUUAAUCCUCAGCAUGCAAUUCCUUCACCUAUGUGCAUUAGCCAUCUUAUGGAAGAUUUUCGUAUUUCUAUCCCCUUCUUUAAGCUAGAUCUCCUUGGACUCCUGUCUCCUUGAGGUUUCUUCAAAGAGAGCCUACUUCAUGAAAUCCUCCCUAGCUCUCCUUCUAGCUUCUGCUUGCUCAAGGGAAAGAACCCUCGCCCUUUCCUUCGAAUCCCAAAAACCUAUCUCUUUGAACAUCUACUCCUUCCUAAUGGACACGUUACCAAAGACCAUAUUCUUCCAUCUUUUCAAAUCAGAUUUCAAUGCCUUUAGUUUUGCAGCCAGAAUAAGGCUAUAAGAACCUCUAAAAUUGUACCCCGUCCACCACCGUUUUAAGAGAUCUUUAAAACCCUCCGCCUCCAACCACAUAUUUUUAAACCUGAAUGGACUAGCACCACUCCUCAUCCCUCCUCUGUUUAAAAGACUUGGAGAGUGGUCUGACACUGGUUUAGGCAGAAUACUCUGAAGGACACCACUGAAAUGGUUUUCCCACGAUUCAGACACCAAAAUCCAAUUCAGUCUUGAUAAGGAUUGAUUGUUCAACCCCCCACUCCCAGUAAAGGAACCUCCUAACAGUGGUAGAUCACGCAAUUCUCUCUCUUUUUUUUUUUGAUAGGUAAAUUUUGUCCCUGUUGGGACUUGAACCUGGAACCUCCCACAGACCCUCCUCAUAGAAUUGCAUGAUGUACAAUCUAUGAUGAUGGUAGAUCAUGCAAUUCUAACUCUUCAAUGACCUCUGUAAACCUUCUUCUCAUAUCUGCAGACACCGUACUGCCCAUAUUCUGUUUCCAUGAGAACCUGACUGAGUUGAAGUCCUCCCCUCCUACAUACCAUAAACCUGCCCACAGCCCCAACUUUUGGCACGUUUCAAUUAAUAUGCAUUUUGUGCUUAUUAAUAUGUAUAUAUAGACACACACACACCCACAUUAAUUUAAAAGUGAAGGUCAACUAGUUUCCAGAGGUUUAAUUUCAUCAAUCAUUUCAGUCUUAUAAAAAAUAUUGGAUACUUCUAAUUGAAUUUUUUAUUUAUUUUUAUUUACUUAGACAAUGAUAAAGUCUUUCGAGGUCACCGACUUGCCAGGUAUGUUAUUCAUACAUGACUUUUAAUUUCUCCAGUCUUGGCAUGGUAAUUUCAUUUACAUCUAAGGCAUCUGCUUGCAGUCCGGUCAGCAAAAUUUAUAGCUCGUAAGCAGUGGGUGGUUGCUGGAGCUGAUGACAUGUUUAUCCGUGUAUACAAUUACAAUACUAUGGAUAAGGUUACAAUUUUUGAAGCACAUGCAGACUACAUUAGAUGUGUGGCUGUCCAUCCAACACUUCCAUAUGUAUUGUCUUCAUCUGAUGACUUGCUUAUAAAGCUUUGGGAUUGGGAUAAAGGUUGGACGUGUACUCAGAUUUUUGAAGGGCAUUCUCACUACGUGAUGCAAGUGACAUUUAAUCCAAAAGACACCAACACCUUUGCAAGUGCCUCCCUCGAUCGCACUAUAAAGGUGUGAGUGGAAAUGUUUCUUGAUAACCUGUUGUGAACUUGAAGAUGUGUUUCAAUGUCCUAAUGUUGAUCCUUCCAUAGUUGAUUUUAUUGAUUGUGUGGGAACCCAUUGAGGAGGGGUUGGUUCUUUUUGCACCUCCGUUCUUGGCAACUGUUUUGUUUUCAGCAGGGGAGCGGGGGGUGUUUCUUCUUUGUAUACUUUAAGUCGCUGUUUUGGCGGCUUUUUCAAUACAGUUUUUCUCCUUUACUUAUAAAAAAAAAAAGUCCUAAUGUUGAUCUGGCGUCCUGUUCCAGAUUUGGAAUCUCGGCUCCCCUGACCCAAAUUUUACUUUGGAUGACCACAUGAAAGGGGUAAACUGUGUUGAUUACUUCACUGGUGGUGACAAGCCAUACUUAAUCACGGGUUCUGAUGAUCAAACUGCCAAGGUGUUUAUCUGAUGCUUAUUGACUAAAUAGCUUCCAUUUAUGUGCAUUCCAUUUGAUUACUUUCUGUGAUUAAAUUUUGGUGGAACAGGUGUGGGACUACCAAACCAAAAGUUGUGUUCAGACACUAGAAGGCCACACACACAAUGUUUCUUCAGUCUGUUUCCAUCCAGAGCUUCCUAUUAUUUUUACUGGUUCAGAAGAUGGGACUGUUAGAAUAUGGCAUGCAACCACUUAUAGGUAAGUUCUAUGUCCAGAUGCAGUGAUAUAUAUUGAAGUUAUGCGAUAUGGAAGUUCUUGGAUUUGAAGCUCCUGACCAGCAAAGGUUUUUUUUUUUCCUUGUGUAGGAUAGACUUAAUACAACAUCUGAAUGUCUUGACUUCUCAUUUAUAUUGUUUUUGCAACAGUAUAUAUUGAUAGGUUCCUUUUUCUCCAAUAUAUUCUAUGAGCUCACUCCCUUAUUAAAUGUUUUCUUUUAAACUGAGAGUGAUGUUCAGCUUGCCAACAUAUCUAAAAUCCUAAACCACUUCUUUUGAGCUUGUUGAAAACUGUUUGUUGUUCAUACUGAAGUCUCUUAAAUUCCAACCCUGGCCCUAUAAAAAAGUAACUGUUUCUUCAUCUUAAAAGUGUAACUACCUUGUGCUAAAACUGAUAUGCGAGGUUCUUGAGAAAUUCUUACUUAGUCUUAUUUCUUUUUUAUUUUUGUCUUUGAAAUGAAUUAUAAACUUAGGAUGAUUGCAGUGGUGCUGCAAAAUAAUUAAUCCUAUGGACUAGUUCCCUACCUAGAAUGUUUAGCUCAUGAGCUCAUGUUUCACAGUAUUGGCCGAGUCCGGUAUGACUUGGCUAAGUCAUAUCCGCCUUGGUUCUUUUCACGCUGAGUCCAAUACCUGAUACCAUCUCAAACUCAGACUUGAUCAAGACUUGUUUAAACUUGGUUGACUCGAUCAAAAUUCCGAAUUGACUUCGUUGAAUCGUUUGAGUUACCAAAAAAAUGAUUUUUUUCAUUUCAAAUCACAGAAAAUCAACAACAAACAGGAUCCAAACCUAGAAAAUCUAUGAAAAAUCAGAGAUUUUCUUCAAAAGAAAAGCUUUUCAAGAAUCAAAAACCAUGACCCAUAAUGAAGAGGAAGAAAAACAUCAGCCUUACCAUGAUUGAGUCUUGGAGAUGUAGAAGAAGAGGUUGAGAAACAUCAUAUCGAUUUCCUCCAUUGACGUCCAUGGCAAUUGCUGCAUCUAGCCUCUCCUCCCUUUGCUUUUGGUGGGUAUGCAACUGGCUAACAGCAGCUGCCCUUGUCUCUUUCUCUGGCAGCCCUCUUCUCUCUCUCCCCGCGUAGGUGUGUGUGUGCGAAUUGGGGAUUUGAAGAUUGUUUAUCAUUUUCUAUGUUAAGAUGGUAUGAAUCAUUUAGUGUAGUAUGAGUUGCAUUAAUCUAAGGUAAUUUAUUUCCAUAUUUUAUAAUCUAUUAUUUUAUAUGAUAAUGGUGUGGUAUAAAUUAUAUUAGUUUAAGUAAUAUAUUAGUUUAUAUGUUAAUGGUAGCAUAUAUGAUGUAUUAAUUCAUUAUUCAUUAUUUAAUUUAUUAUUAUAUUGAUAUAUUAAAAUCAUUUAAUUAACAAUAUAUCGUACUUUGUUUGAUAAAUAUAUUUUUAUUUUUAUAUUUAAAUAUAAAGUGUUGUAAUCAUUUAAUUGAAACUACAAAACAAUUGAUUAUUGAACUGUAUGUCUUUUAGUAAAAAUAUCAUUGUAUUUGAAAUAAAAUAUUUUUCAAUUCUUAAUGUCAUCAUAAAUUACAUUGUGGAUACUUUAUAACUAUUUAAAUAAUGUUAAAUGUGUGAACAUUUUAUUUUAUUAUCUUUUUAAGGUUAUUUGAACUUUUUAACUAUCUUAUUUUGCAUAUCACCCAAUACCGAGCUGAGAAGCCAAGACCAAUGUGCCUUGGGACCCUCCAAGUCAAUAGUCGAUAUUGCGACUUUGAGCCAUGCAUGAGCUUGCUCUCACUUCUUUAUCAAGAAACCAAAAGAAGAUUUUCGAACCCCUUUUGUUGGUUGACAGUCUCUAGGUUCUGUUUACAGGCUAAGAUAUAUAAAUGUUGUGUGAAUCUAUUUCUUAAUUGAAUAUGGUACUCAAGCCAAUAGAGCCUUAUAUCAACCAUUUGGAUUAGGUGUACGAAUUAUUUUUCAUCAUAUUGCUUUAUCUAGGACCAUAGCCUUUUUUCCCCUCAGUGCCUUUAUCUAUUUUUCUGUUUGGGCUUCCUCUUGUUGUUGUUGGCACCUUCAAUUAAAUCAGUUGUUAAUUCUUAGUGCUGUUAUUGGUCUUUGUUACCCCGUGACAUAGUUCUCCCGCUUCUCUUUUAUCUUGUGCUCAGUUGGUGCUUCAUCUAUUAUCUAUUGAUGAAUUCUGGUUUGAAAUUCCCAUAAAUGCUGAGUUGAUGACUUCAAUUUGUUUUGCAAGUUGUGGUUUUUGGUAAGUAGGCUACAAGGCACAAAUUGUGAUGUGUGCCUCAUAAGUUUACUUAUUUAUUUAUCUAUUCAUCUUUGCCUAAUCUUAAUUUUAAUUUUGUUAACCAUGCUCAGCAAUUUACAGGCUUGAAAACACAUUAAAUUAUGGACUUGAACGAGUUUGGGCCCUGGGAUGUAUGAGAGGUUCACGACGGUAAGGGUCUUAAUUUUAAUAUUUCUUUCCCACAGGAUUUGAAUUUGCAGGGAGUUCUAUGCUGAUGUUCUUAGUUUAGAAUAGUACAAGGAUGUCAAAAUUAUCUAUUCGAUGCCUUGACAUGGUUGAAUUUCUAUGCUUACUCUAACCAUGAAAGUAAACAAUUCACACUAUAGCUCUUUUAUUUUCUUUUCACUAUUUGGGUUAUUUUAGUUUAGGCUUAAAAAUAUAGGUUUAUUUUGAAUAAUUGUUAUCACACUCUCUCAAUAUAGUUGCUGUAUGCUUUAUUCACAUGUGGCUUCUUUUUCUUUCCUACUUUACAGGGUUGUGAUCGGUUUUGAUGAAGGAACCAUUAUGGUGAAAAUUGGUCGAGAUGAACCAGUAGCUAGUAUGGAUAAUAGUGGAAAGAUCAUAUGGGCUAAACACAAUGAAAUUCAAACAGUUAAUAUUAGAAGUGUUGGGGCAGAUUAUGAGGUUUAUUUCCCUACAUGUGCAGAUUUCAUCUUUUUGGCUGAGAUGGAUGAGAAACUAUUUUUUCUCUUCUUUUUGCUUUGUCUAACAUAGUCAAUUUGGUAACAUCUAUUAUUCUCAGGUUACAGAUGGAGAAAGAUUGCCUUUGGCUGUGAAAGAGUUGGGAACCUGUGACCUUUAUCCUCAAGUAAGUUGGUUCUUUUCUAGCCACAUGCUAUCCAAGUGAUGAUUUCAUGUGCCAUUUUUGUUGAAGUGUGAAUUCAUUUACCUGAUGUGACCUUUCCAAAAAUUUUCUUAGGUACUUUGACCAAUUGUAUUAGUCUUUGGGUUUCUGAGAUCUUCUAUGCUGACUACAAUAUAUGAUGAUCUGGUUUUGGAAACUAGAUGGAAGAAAAACAUGGAAGUAGACCAACUCAAAGAGCUCAUGCUUUUUUUUUUUUUUUUUUUUCUUUUUUUAUAAUCUUUUUGGUAGACAAACUGAAAGAGCCUUUUUUUUUCCUCAGAAGAAAAAGAUUAAAAAAAAAAAAUUAAAAAAGCUCCUAUAUUUUUAAAUUUUAUACCUGUAUAAAUCUUUUCACCUCAGUAAACUAGGUUUGACAUAAAUUCCAUAAAUCUUGUGUAGAACCCAAUGGCAGAACUAGAAAUUUGUUUCACAAGGGGAACUUUUCUUAAUAAUAGCAAAACCAAAAGAAAUUCAAGUUAAUGAAAAGUCAUAGGAGUAAUCCAUAGGAGCAUGUAUUCAAUAAAUUUAUCCUUAAGAUUUUAUAUUUAAAUCUUAUGACUCGAUCAUAGACAAUUUUGAGGAGAUUGGAUGGUUGGAAAAAAAAAUCCUUUUUGUCCUUAAGUAGAAGAAUAACUCUAAUACAGUCCUAUUUCUCUUACAUCUCUAGUUAUUUCCUCUCUUUAUACAAGAUCUCAUCAUCAGUAGCGACAAGAAUUGAAAAAAUUUGAAGAGGAUUUUUUUUGUUAGGGUUUAGGGAGGAAAAGAGAGAUCAUCUCAUAAGUCGGAACCAAGUGUGCAAGCCUAAGGAGGAAGGAGGGUUGGGGUUUGGGAGGAUAUCUUUGAGGAAUAGGACCCUCUUAGGGAAGUGACUUUGGAAGUUUUCUAGGGUAAGUACAACUCUUGGGCAUAAGGUUAUAUUAAGCAUCUAUGGGACACAACCUAACGGUUGGGACACCAAAAUUUAGGUCAGGUGGUUGCAUCAUUACCCUUGAAAGGCCAUUGCUCAGGUUUUCAAGGGUUUCUUUCUCUGUGUUUUUACUUAUCAAAAAAAAAAAAAGGGUUUCUUCAAUAAUACUUAUUUUGUGAUGGGUAAUAGGGCAAAGAUUUAUUUUUGGGAAGACUUGUAGUAGGAAGAUCAAUCUCCAAGUUCUCAAUUUUCUAGUCUUUAUGAAGCGCUAUCAAUUAGAUGUUCUCCUAUAUCAUCUAUCCUUAACUUUUCUUUUAUUUUUCUUGGAACAUUAAACUUUUGACAAAACCUCACUGACUUAGAGCUGAGGAUCUUAGGAAUCUCAUGUCCAUUCACAUUAGUAUGAACCUAUCAUCGUCUUUUUUGAAUAUGAGAGUUUGGUCAUUAUUGUCUUCAAACUUAUUUAUAGUUAAAUCGUUCUUCUUAAUCUUAUCUAAUCAAUCAACCCCAGUUCUUUUGUCUCAAACAAAAUUCAGAUGGAAAUCAAAAGCCCCAUCAAAGGUUAAGAUAUUUGUUUGGCUUGACCAACAAGAAAGUUACCAUCAAUGACUUGCUUCAACUGUGAAGAUCUUUCGAAGCCCUUAGUCUUGAUCAUUGCACUUUGUGUGUGGGAAAUGGAGAACUGAUUGAUCAUCUUUGUUUACUCUAUCCGGUGAUUUUGGAACUAUGACACAAGCUAUUGAGAUUAGCUAGAUUGGAUUGGGUUCCUCCUAGAAGUAUUAGUGACAUGAUGACUAUUUCCUCUUUAGGGUUUGGGGAAUAUUAUCAGAGGCAAAGUUCUAUGGCAAAUUGUUUGUCUUAUGCUGAUCUGGAUAGUAUGAUAGGGAAAGAAAUACAAGGAUCUUUGGGGACAAGUGGAAGACUUCAAAGAUGACAACUUUUAAGGGCAUUCCUCUCAAUGUUAUUUAAGUUUUUUUUUUACUUUUUUUUUCCUCUAGAUUUUGUAAAUUUGGGAAAGAUUUCUCAUCCUUCACUCGUACUUUUAAUCCUUUUAAUGAAAUGUUUGUUCCCAAUCAAAUAAAGAUUUUAUAUUUAAAUAAUCUCAUUGUAAUUGAUCUUUAUUUGGUUGCAUAUUAAUUUUAAGAAUUUUAAUAAUUUCAUAAAGAAAUUUUAGUAGUAAAAUUAAAAAUUAUUAUAUACAAAGCUUAAAAAAGGUAAAAGACCACUAUUAAUGAAUAUCAGGGAAAGUAAAGUUUUCAUCUGAAAAUUAAUUUGUUGUGCAAUUUUUUUUUUUUUUUUUGGUUUAAGUCAAAGAUAUUAUUUUUAUGUUGGUUUUUAAAUCAUUUAAAUUAGAAAUUACAAAUAAGAAUCAAUUAAAAUUUAAAAUAUGAUUUAUUAAAAAUAUUUUAAUUUUUUUUAGACAAUUUUUUAAGAAUGUGUAAUAAUUUCCAAUAAUGCAAUUUUUUUGUAUUAGGAUUUCCCCCCCUAAGAGGCUAAUUUAGAAGGGCUGAGGAACAGGGGGGCACCUCCCUGACCCCAGUGUGACUCUGUCAUUGGUAGUGCCAUGAUAUAUAUGCAUAUCUAUUGACUAGCAGUCAAGAUCCAAUUUUUUCAUUUUCAGCACUCAUGUAGAUGAAGUUGCGUGUGUAGUCUUACUUUUUCUCUAAGAGGCAGUGCAUAGAAUAUGUGCGGGCUCAGUUUUUUUGUUGUCACAUUAUGGUUAAUGACUUUUGUUUUUUUGGUUUUAAUUUCAGAGUUUGAAGCACAAUUCUAAUGGAAGGUCUGUUGUUGUUUGUGGGGAUGGGGAAUACAUAAUAUACACAUCUUUGGCAUGGAGAAAUAGAUCAUUUGGCUCAGCGCUGGAAUUUGUUUGGUCAUCAGAUGCAGAAUAUGCUGUGAGGGAAAGUACAUCAAGGAUUAAGAUUUUCAGCAAAACAUUCCAGGUUUUGAUCCUUUCAAAGUUUAGAUUCUCACGACUUAUUGAUGGGGGCUUUUCUCCAAGCAAAUUAGCAAUGCUUCUUUUGUUGCAAAGUUGUUUAUCUUGUUGUAUUUUGUUCCUUGGCUGCCCUCACUUGCCAGAGACUUAAAGUAAGCAUUUGGCUGGGUGAGGCAAUGCCUUAGCUAGCUUGUGACAAGGUACUGAAUUUGUGAAUGGACUAGAUUAGGUUUUUACUGAUCUUGUCAAACAUAUAUUGAAGAACAGAGAGCUCUGGUUGAAGGUGGGAUGAAUGGAAACCACGAGUAACCCUAUUUCUUAUGUAGACAGAUGGUGGAAGUCUUGCACUAAAAUGCUACUUCUUUCCAACAAAAGGAAUACUCUUCUAAGUCAUUGUGGAAAUGCGACUGAUAUAAUUCUUUUCCUGCCUGGGAAAUUGAAUGGAGUUUAAUGGUGGUGGCAUUCUUCAGGAAAAGAAGAAUAUUCGACCAACCUUUUCUGCUGAACACAUUUAUGGAGGGGCACUUCUGGCGAUAUGCUCAAAUGACUUCAUUUGUUUUUAUGACUGGGCUGAGUGCAGGUUGAUUCGGCGGAUUGAUGUCAAUGUCAAGGCAUGUUCUCAAAAAGCUUACUUCACAAUUACCAGGUUUUGGCCACAGAGAAACUAAUAGUUCAUUUCUUUGGGUGGUUUCAAUAUUUCAGAAUCUUUAUUGGGCUGAUAGUGGUGAUUUAGUGGCAAUUGCAAGUGAUUCAUCAUUUUACAUCUUAAAGUACAAUGUAAGCUUUCUCCCUUUUUGGUUCUCUUAUCCCACUUUUAUGAGAAAUCAUCAUAGAUUUGUCAUAAAAUCUAUUCGUUUUACAAUCAUUUGAGAUUAAGUACCUCACUUAACAACCAAAUAUGUUUAUUUGGCAGCGUGACACAGUUGUGUCACAUUUCAAUAGUGGAAUGCCUAGUGAUGAACAGGGUGUUGAGGAUGCUUUUGAACUCCUCCAUGAAAUAAAUGAGCGAGUCAGAACUGGAAUAUGGGUUGGGGACUGCUUCAUUUACAAUAACUCCUCUUGGCGACUUAACUAUUGUGUUGGUGGUGAGGUAUAAGAGAGUUGAUUCCAGGUUGUAUUUCUAUAUAUAUGAUCUUCAUUCUAAGGUGCAGUCAUAUAAAUUGUUAAUGUGAUGAUUUCAGGUAACCACCAUGUUUCACUUGGACCGGCCUAUGUAUUUGUUAGGAUAUCUUGCCAGUCAAAGUCGCGUUUAUCUUAUAGACAAAGAGUUUAAGUGAGGGAGCUUGGGAGCUGCACUUCUGCAAUCUGACUGCUUUUGUUCUUGUAAUUGAUCUAAAUUUAUUUAUGUUAUCUUAUGCAGUGUUAUGGGAUAUACCUUACUUCUCAAUUUGAUUGAGUACAAGACACUUGUAAUGCGUGGAGACUUUCAACGUGCAAGUGAAAUUUUACCUUUGAUUCCUCAAGAGCACUACAAUAGGUACUGAAAUUCAUAGUAUACUGACAGCAAAGUAAUUGUGUGAAUUUGAUGGUGUAGAUGUGUCCUCAGGUUGUAGUCUGAUUUGAUAGCUUGCUAGAUUCCUUUUGUUUUGGGUUAUGAUUCCAAGCACUUGCAUAAUGACAGUGAUAUAACUGAAACUAUUUGCAACAUUCUUGGGUUUAUACCCUACUUGUUUUUUAUGAUCACCUUUGGCAUUUACUUGUUAAUACAUGUGGUACAGCAGUUAAACCAAUUGAGGUUUCUCAAAUCCUGGUUGUGGUGACAGUACUUGGAUAUAUGUGUAAUAGCGAUACUUGAGGAGUGCAGGUUUUAACUCUUCUGAUUUGCACAAUUUUUUUCUUAUCAGGUUGUUUGAAUGGUUUUGGUAAUAUCUAUGUAACUCGGUAGUCCUCUUGUGGAAUUGUCAAUUCAGUUCCAGCCAAUACUGUUAUUAUUCUUGAUUAAUAGUUCUAUCCUUAGUUUGUUCACAUUACUCUUCUUGACAGAGGAUAUCCUGCUGUUUUCCAUGCACACAGGAAGAAAAGAGUUAAUGCUUAUAUGUUUCUUGCAGCUUUUUUUUUGUGAAAUUGCCUAUUUUGUCCCUCAUUUUGACAUUCCUGUUAGAUGUUGUUCUCCUUUAGUGGUAACUGAUGGGUGCCCCAACAUUGUUUUUCACAUUCUAGGUUGUUACCUCUUUUGCAUUUAGUCUAACGUAAUGCAGUUCAAGCUGGAAUUUCAAAGAGGAGCAAUUUAAAAUUGUUGGCUAGUUUCAUUCAUCCACCUAUCAUUUUUUUCUCUUAUCAUGUCCAUAUAUUGCAUAUACUGUCAAUGCAUUGCAGAAAAGGAAGUGCAUUCUGUAUAUACUUAUGUUGUGACCGCAUUUUUUUUCCACUUAUUCUUGUUGUUUCAAUUCCUUUUUCCAUAGUUCUGAAAUUUGACUGAGAUGUGAUGAAGAUAUAUUUUACUUGCUAGUGUGGCUCGUUUCUUGGAAGCUCGAGGUAUGCUGGAGGAUGCACUGGAAGUUGCCACAGAUCCUGACUAUAGAUUUGAUCUAGCUAUACAGCUAGGCAGACUAGGUACUGCAAAGGUAAGAAUUUUUAUUUAUCUUUAGUUAGGUGUAUAAACCUUCAAUUGGCAUUUAACACCUAUGUAAGUGAGUGAGUUCAUCAAAAUCAACUCUUUUCUUAUAAUUGUUUGUUUCCAUUAUGAAAGAUGUUUCUUCUCUUCUUGCAGGAAAUAGCUUCAGAAGUACAGAGUGAAACCAAAUGGAAGCAGUUGGGAGAAUUAGCUAUGUCCAAUGGAAAGGUUUUUUGGCUACCAUUAAUUGUUUACUGACAGUUAAUUGCUGGAUGAGCAGCCCUCAUUCAUCACACAUGCAUGCAAAUCCUUGGUGAAAUGGCAGUGUUAUAACUUUUCAACAUUUGAAACUGUUAGUCAAAUGAUCUAUCAACAAGUUUUUUGUGCUUUAUCUCACUAUAAACAGACAUGAAGUGUGAACUUCUGAAGUUGGUAAUGUGCCAUGAAUGAUACGGAGGAAAUUCAAAAUGAAGUCUGUGCAAGAAGGGGGGAGAAAGUUAGAAUGACAUAAAUUCUGACAAAAAUCUAAGUUAUAGUGAUGAAAACCUUGAUCGGUUGCUUUGAUCUGUUUAGUUUAUUUAACAAGUUGGAAAUUGCACAGAUGGUAUGGGCUACAUAUGCACAAUGUGUCUGGAGCUUGGAGAAAAAAAAAAGAAAUUUAUCAUCUUGAUCUGCAUUGAAUUCUCCAUUCAGUCCAUUUUGUUUCUCAUAUUGUUAGAAUGGGUCUGUCUUGUUUUCUAUAUUAUUUGAUUUAUACAUCAUUUUUACACAGCCAUUGUAAAUGGCCCUAAUCUGUUUCAUGCCUAUGAUCACUUUUUGGCAUUUUAUGAAAUGAGAUGAUUUCAACUCUCUACUAUGAUUUCUGGUGUUGGCUCAGUUUUCGAUGAUGAUUCCAUUCUAAAGGAAGGACUUUUGCAUUCAAAUGAUUGGUAAACCUAGUUGUAAUGAUUCCAUAUGGUUAAGUCUUCUAAAUGUGCCCUUAAUUUACUGCUUGAUUUUUUAUUGGUUAAGUGACCAGAUGAUGUAUCUGCUUCUUUCUGAGUCAUUUAUUUUUUAUAUGCAAGUUAAACAAUAUUAAUAUCUUGGAAUGUUAAUGAAAAUGUUUUUGUUUCUGAUAAAAAAAUGUUAAUAUCUUGGAAUGAUGUAUUGUAUUCAAUGAUGAAUUAUAACAGAUCUUAAGGUAUAUAUACUUCUUUAGAUAUUUCGUAUUUUCUAUUUAUGAUAUUCUUGGAGAUACAUUUGUUAAAAUUCUGGUAAUGUUAGAAUGCUUAUAUAUAUAUACGCACAUAUAAAAUCCAACUUCAGUGCAUUGUUUUAUUCAGGUAUUUAUGUCCUAGAUCAUAUUGCUUCAGAUGACCACCACUCCCCUUCCCCCUCCUCUUUUUUAUUCCAAUGUCUUAAUGUAUGUACUGGAAUUGUUAAUGCAGUUUGAGAUGGCUGAGGAAUGCCUUUUACACGCCAUGGACUUGAGUGGUUUGUUGCUCCUCUAUUCUUCUUUUGGUGAUGCCAAUGGAAUAUCAAAACUUGUUUCACUGGCUAAAAAGCAGGGGAAGAAUAAUGUCGCAUUCCUUUGUUUAUUCACGCUGGGUAAAUUGGAAGAGUGCCUUCAGCUGUUGGUGGAGAGGUAAUCAUUUUCCUUACCAUAUAACCAUAGAAAAUCAACUGCUGAUACUAAUUUAUUACACAUUUACUUAUUUCAUUUAACAGACAAUAUGGUGGUAGUUUAUAUGACCCAGGAAGUUGAGAUUGAGUUUACUGAUUAGACUCUGAUAUGGUCUGUUGCAGUAAUCGGAUACCUGAAGCUGCUUUAAUGGCACGAUCUUACCUUCCAAGCAAGGUUCCAGAGAUAAUCACGAUUUGGAGAAAUGACCUCAACAAGGUUAUUCUUCUGAUUAUUUCAUUUUGUUUUCCAUGAAGCACUUUGGUUAGUAAAUCAUAUCCGAGAUAGAGAGAGGACAACAAAUGAUGAUGAAUGUGAUCUUAUUGUGCGUCUUAAGUUUUUCCCAUGUCAUAAAUGAACCAAGAAAAGAGAUAAGGAGAAAGGAAAGGAGUGAAAAUUUUGAACCCUUCUUGACUGCAUAAUGCAUGAUGUCAUGAUUUGCAGGUGAGCAAAAAAGCUGCAGAAUCAUUGGCAGAUCCUGAAGAGUACCCUAAUUUGUUUGAGGACUGGCAGGUUGCUCUUGACAUUGAAUCUAAAAUUUCAGAGAAAAGGUAUCUCUUAGAAGUUUUAUACACAUCCUAUUUGAUAGACUAUUGUUCUUGAUUUUCCCUUUUUAACUCUCAUUAUAUUGCUUAAUAUACAAUCUCAUGUAAAACUAAGGUUUAUACAUGAGUCUUGAUUGUAUGCCUCAUAGGAUUUCAAUGGUUAAUUGUUGUUUUGUAUUUUUUCCUUUUGUAAAUGCUAGCAAGAAAAAUUUAUCCCAAAACCAAUAACAGUGAAUACUUAAAACCCUUAGUAUAAAUCUUUCAAAAAACAGUAUAGUGUCUGGGAGGAUUGGGCAGUGGAUCCUUUUUUCCAGUGAUGCAUUUGAUUCUCUGGUGGAGGAAUAAAGAAGUCCAUGGGGAAGAGUGAUCCUCCCCAGGUUUCAUUUUGGCCCAGAGAGGAUAAUGCAGGAGUGCUCCCACUAGGGAUCCUGGGAUUAGACACUGUUUUUUAUGUUGAAACAGUUUUUCUUUAUCAAUGGGUGACGAGUUUCAAUGUAUUGGUGUGGAUGACCUUGUGGAUUUGAUUUUCUCUGACCCAUUGGAGUGGGUUUAGUUUAACAUUAAUGGGGUGAUGAUGAGCAUUGAUUUGUAAUGCAGCAGGCAAGUGGAGGGGUGCUUUGUGAAGGUGGGAUAGACUACCAAGUCUGGGCAGUAAAGGAGUGGCUGAAACUGGUUUGGGGCAAGGGUUUCAGGAAGGUUUUGGAUCUGGAUUUGCAAUUUUUUUUGGGGUAUCUUUGAGGCAAGGAGAACAAUCAAAGCCAUUAAAUGAUUAAACAUAAAUGGGAAGAAAAAUGAGCAAAAAAUUUUCUUGCCAGAAAUUGUGAAGAAGAUAACGAUAUAUGAAAUACUGUCUAAAAUGCUAUAGUGGUACUUUAUCAUAUUUCCAAAACUAAUACAGAACCGCAACUGGUCUCAUCCAAGUUGUGAAUCUUUGAUGUGAUAUUAAAACCAUGAUGCAUCAUGAGUUACAUCUUGGUGUCAGCUUAUAUUUAAAACCAUAAUGCUCCUUCAAAGAAUAGCCAGCAGUUACUGGUACUUCAAGAAUAUUCCCCUGCUAGCAAAAUUUUGUUUGAGGCCUUUGGGUGUUGAUCUACUAGAAGGAAAUGCUCAGUUGGGCUUUAGAUGUUCCUUUCAAAAUUGUUGUUUUUGUUGUCUUUGGAACAUGUCACUUGUGUUUUUGGUGGAUGUAGAUCUUCAUUAAUUUUUAAAAAUAAAGAAUUUGUGCUUUAUGCUUGAUUCAGGUGUGUAUGGCAUGCAAAUUGUUUGGAAUUUUUUCAUGUUUCAUUCGGGCGUCUGACAUUUGAAUUGCUUGGGUUUUUUCUCCUGUAGGGGUACUUAUCCUCCUGCUGAACAUUAUUUGAACUAUGCUGAGAGAUCAAACAUCAACCUUAUGGAAAGUUUUAAAAGCAUGCAAAUUGAUGAGGAGGAGUCAAUACUUGAAAAUGGAAAUUCAGAUCACAGGGUACAAUCCUUUAACAGAUUAUUUGAUUCUGUAUACUAUAAAUUGAUGUCAUCUGACUAAUUUAAGAAUUCGCAAGACCACUGGUGAGGCUGUUCUGUAAAAACCUGCACAUUUGUUGGACAGCUGGAACUCAAAUACAGUUCUUUCUAAUAAUUGACAUAUUUAAUUGUAUAAACUUCCAUGUGUUAAUAUAUCAAGUAUUGACUCCCUUUGUCAGUACAAUAGAAUACACCAGCUUUUUGAUGCUGAACUUGACCCAGGCUUGCAUGAGGUCAAUUCACCUCCUACAUUUUGCCUUUUUUUGGGUCAUCUGAAUCAUCACUGCUCUCACAUGAAAGCAAAGACAGUUCCAAGAAUUGAAGUCUAGUAACAGGUUUUAAUUGAUUAAUCGCUGCCUUAAGGACAUUGGAAAUGGCAUGUAGAUGAAUUUCACAAGCUGCAGCUGUGAAAAUUUUUUAGGAAUUUCUGGAAGGGCAAUAAUAAUUGAAGUUCCCUAUUUAACCCUGUCCUACUGACUGAACCACGUCAUUUUGCUUCUUUGUAUAUAAAUUAUAUGGGAUGAUAGCUAUUAGUCUGGUCCCCGCUGAGGAGGCACCGACUCAAUUUUUUGAAAUGGCCCUGUGAAUGCUAGAAGUCAUGCCCCUGCAACCUGGGAAAAGAAAAAAUUGGGGUUCUUAUAACAGAUGCUUAAGAAAAGUUAAAUGAAUGUGGAAAGAUAGGAGUUAAGUAUCCAAAAAGUAGUUCCAGUUUCUGCUUCCUCUGUUGGGUACUUGUUGUGAACAUUGGAAAAGUUACUUUUGUCAAAUCGGUAUUUAAUCUAUAUACCCACUUGCAUUAAUGGAACUUAUUUGCUGGACUCUUGCAGGAAAUACAAGCUAACGGAGCCUCUGAAUACCAAGAAGAGGCUGUUAAUGUGGAUGUUAAUUCUCCAGACAGGAUACUUGUUAAUGGUAAUGAGGGUGAAGAAGAGCGGGGUGCAAAUAAUGAAGGAACUUCUACUGAUUGAAGUUAAUUGUUUGGGCAUACUGUGAGUAUCCAAAUUUUGUUUCUGGUGAUUAGUUAAUUUGCUUUAAAUGCUUCUCCAACUCCCUUUUUAACAUAUACUGCUGCUGCUGCUGCUACUAUGAUUUAUAAUUGAUAUUUGGAUCUUCCCUACCAUGUGGAUAUUAUAAUAGUAAAAUACAUCAGGGAAAAAUGAAAUAUUACAUGGUUGAACUUUCUUCUUCUACUACUACUACUACUACUACUACUACUACUACUACUGUAUUUAUUGUUGAUAUUCUUAUCUUCCGUCUUAUUUGUUAAUUAUGAGUAAAAUACCUCAUGAAAAAGUUUGUUUCUUCCCUAUUAUGUGGAUAUUAUGAGAAAAAUACCUCAGAAAAGUAACAUGGGUGAAGUUCCACUACUACCACUGUGGCUUAUAGUUGAUAUAGGUAUCUUCCCUAUUAUGUGGAUGUUAUAUGAGUAAAAUACCCAAGGAAAAAGUAAAAUGGGUGAAACUACUAGUGCUGCUACCAUAAUUAACGUGGAUAUCUUAAUAGUAAAAUACCUCAGGGAAAAAUGAAAUCUUUACAUGAUUGAACUUUCUUCUACUACUAAUACUACUGUUAUUUAUUGAUGCUAUUCUUAUCUUCCCUAUUAUUUGUUAAUUAUAUGAGCAAAAUACCUCAGGAAAAAGUAACAUUGGUGAAGUUCCACUACUACUGCUGUGGCUUAUGAUUGAUAUAGGUAUCUUCCCUAUUAUGUGGAUAUUAUUUGAACAAAAUACCUUAGGAAAAAUUGACAUGGGUGCACAAAGUAAUAUGGGUGAACUUUCUUCUUCUUCUUCUUCUUCUUCUUCUUCUUCUUCUACUACUACUACUACUACUACAAUUUAAAAUUAUACAUGUAUCUUCCCUAUUAUGUAAAUGUCAUAUUAGUAAAAUACCUUGGGGAAAAAUAGGAUGAGUGAACUUUCACUACUAGUACUACUACUAUGGUUUAUAAUUGAUAUUCAUGUCUUCCAUUGUUAUGUGGAUAUCAUAUGACUAGCAUAAAAGGUAAAUAAUGUUACUAAUACUACUAUGAUUUAUAAUUAAUGUAAGUAUCUUCCCUAUUAUGUGGAUGUUAUAUUAGUAAAACACCUUAGGAAAAAAUAGGAUCCCUAUUAUGUGGAUGUUAUAUUUAGUAAAAUAGCUUAGGAAAAAAUAGGAUGAGGGAACUUUUAGGAAAAAUAGGACGUGUGAACUUUAUAACACUGCUGCUACUACUAAUAUGGUUUAUAAUUCAUAUUCAUGUCUAUGGAUGAACUUUUAACUGAAGAGUAUUUUAAGUCUUGGUGGAGAUCAAUUGCUCUUACAUGCUAUUUUUUCUGCAUCAACCUACUCAUGUUCAACCAUACUUGCAUCCUUCUCAAGCUUGUGCUGCAGUUGCUCCAGUAAAUUGGAACUUCUAUGGGGCAUUUAUCUUUGAUAAACUCAACCCCAGUAAUCUGUUAACACCUGAAAUUUGGAUCUGUGGACCCCUUAAAUCCAUGUUUCAGCGAAGAGCCCUCAACCUUGUGAUCUAUGUUGGAGGGACUUGCCCACACAACUCAUGGAUGGCAAAAACAAAUAUGACCUUGACAUGUUUCAGCUUUAAACAUGGAUUGAUUUUUUAUCCACUAUGUGCAUUACAAUGUCAAUGGACAAUUGCUCUUUUAGGGGUGUAUGCUUCUAGAUUAAUGUCAAUGAACAACUGCUCCUUGAGGUGCGUAUGUUUCUAGAUUUUAGUUCUGUGUCCUAUAUAAUUAAAAAGGUGCAAGUAUUUGAAAUUUCAAGUGAUGUGAUUACUAUUCCAUAUCCAAUGGCAUGUAUUGGUAUAUUAACCAGUCUAUUAGGUGUUGUCCCAUGAAACCUUUUCCUGACUUUUUUAGUACAAUGCAAGCUUGAGAUGAGAUUUUUGUCUCGAGUCCUAGAUAUAUAAUAUGCUGCUUAAUGCCUUGAUUUUUGUUCAACAUGAGGCAUAUUUACCCUGAAGGAAUAAGACAUGAUGUUAACCUUUGUAGUUGUUUUUCCGAGUUUCUUUCUUAUUUUUUUCCCCCCCUGUUGUGUUAUCUUGUGUAUUCCAACAACAACAAAAACAUAACAAUAUCUCGUCAAACCAUAAACCAUAGAAAUUUCUUUUCUUUUCUUUUUUCUUUUAUUGUAUUCUGAUAUUGCUUUUGUGUUCAUUUAAACAUCUCAUACUGGGCUUUCUUAUUUCUUUCGUGUUUCCAAACAUAUGUUAUCUUCAAUUAUUUGGAAGUCAAUGGAGUGGGGAUAGGUCUGACUUUUUUUUCUCUCUUUUUGUUUUUGGCUGAAAAGCAGCUCUUGCAUCUCAUCACUAGUUCCAUCAAGACAGCUUGCUCCAGCUCUCAUAAGCCAUCUUCUUCAGGUGACAAUUGACCAUCUAUAUAAUAAUCUUUUUAUUUUUAUUUAUUUUAUUUUUCCAACUCCAUAUUUCAUUAUAUGUUCACUCAUGUAUAUAUUUCAUCUGCAAUAGAAGUAAUGAGAUCAUAUCAUGGUAGUUGAAGUGUACAUUUUGGGUAUCGCCUGCAUGUUUUACUUGCUGGUCAAUCCUUCAGAAACUUCUAAUUUCGCAGAUACAUAUGAGAGAUUGCCUAGCAGUAAUACCACUGCAGUUAGAUUGUUUUUGGAAUCAACUUGAAGAUAGGUUACAUAAAUAACUUAAUAGUGAAGUUCUUUGGUCAGUAUAUUGUAGUAUUAUUGGGGGCAUUUCUAUUCAGCAAAUUCCUUUUUUAUUGGGUGGGUUGGGUGGAUGAAAAAACUUGUUUGGUGGCUCACAAGUGGCCAUGAGAAGUCACUCUUCCUCAAAGUUGCAUCAACAAGCACCAAUGCACUGACAUGGUCAAUCAUUCAACUGUCUAAAAGAAACUCAAAAUCUCAACGGAUUAGGAACUGGAACUCAGAACUAUUUUCAUUACUAGGGUAAAGUUCAAAUGUUUUAAGUAGUAAUCAUACUGCAAUAUGUCCAAAUGCUACUGAACCCCACCCCAGAAAGCUUCACCUUGACCCCCAACCAUGCAACUCUGGUUCUUCCUUCAAUGCCAUAACUAUUAACAUCCUGAAUUUGUUGGCUAUGUCCAUAAACGGCUCCCAUAAAUGAAUUCAAUUGUCUAACUCUCUAGCCUGUUUACAUCACACCGUUUUAGGUUUUGAGUUCUCACAUGAUUAUUGUCUUUUCUUGCACAAAAGUUCCUGCAUUUUUUUUUCUUGGACUGGUUAUUCUCGUGACACAUUACAGAACUAUGAAGAGUUAAUUUUUCUUCUCUUUUAAAGAAAAGAAGUGCCUUAUACGGAUGUGACAAGGUUUUUGAUUAGAUUUUUCUAUUUAUGCUGUCCGUCUUAUAACAGGUUGUCAAGUCCAGAAAGAAGCCACCAAAAUGGACCAGUUGUUUACUUGGUCAGUGAUUUUGUAGUUUAAAGGAUCCCAUACAUUAUACUCAGAUAUAAAAUACCAUUCUUGGAAGCUUCUCCUUGCUUUUUGUAUGUAUAAUAAUAUGUAACAGCUAUAAUGAUUGUGAGCGGUAUAGAAAAGAAAAUUUUUCUUUCUGAUAAUUUUUCUUUUCUUUUCUUUUUACAAUUUUAUAAUAUUCUUUUAUCUUCACAUUAUUGUGAUAAAGAAUGUUUCAAUCAUGCUCAAUCAUUGGAUUCCCUCUCCAAUCUAGAGCAUUAUGCACCGGCAAGAACAAAGGUGGUCGGCGACCCGAAGAAUCAAAAUAAUCACAAUACUUAUAUGAGAAGAUGGUUGUUUAUUGAUCAUGGGUAUUUCAACUGAGCUGGCAUUUUCUUUGUUUCGUUUUUGGUAGGAUUGUUAGCUUCUACGAAUCCCACUCACUUUCUCAGUAGAGAUAGAGACCCAAUGAUUUUGAUCUAAGAGCUUUUGUUCUCACGUGCCUGACAUAUUCACGGAUAAAGAAAUGGAAAUUCGCGAGUUAGACAACAAAACCAAUUCACCCAGGAAAUAAUAAAUCCAAAUUUCACAAAAGCUGCUUUUGUUCGACUUACCAUGUGAUGCCGCACUUGCCCGUGCUUACAACCUGGCUCUCUCUCUGGACGCCUUUUAAAAAAAAAAACCACGUAUUCAAUGUUAAAGCUUGUUUUAAACAAAUGAUGAUCAUCUCCGGUGAGAGUAUGUAUGGUGGUGCAUUAUAAUGCUAGUAAAGGUCCCUGGGUCAGAGGUCUGUUUUUUAACUUCUCUUCCCUUUACGGCGCCGGCCAUGAAUUUUAAAUUUAUGAAAAGGCUUGCAAGAGUUCACGAUGCCAUGUCUUUAAUACCACUGGACUCAAGUUGCCUAAACGGGAGAGCUGGGUUACCCGGCAACUGACUCAUGUGAGUGGAUUAGUUAGGUAUGUUAAUACCUAAGGCCGUUCACAUAAAGGCAAGCAUCUUAUCUUUCAAGGGCAUCGAGUUCUGACCUACAUACGCUGCUGAUAGGGACCACCCUGUUUUAUGUCGUCUGAUGACUUAGAAACUCAUCUUCGCUUCCCUCUAAAUUACAAACACAUUUCCUCUAUAAAAAAAAAUUAAAGGCUAAAAAUUUAAAUUUAUAAAUCACAUUCUUGAAGCAUUUAAGAAUGUUAAAAAUGCGUUUGUGGCUGUAAAUCGAUUACCUCUUAUUAUCUAAACAAUGAUUUGGAAAAGAUGUGAUGGACCGCGGUCGGACAAAUUUUCAACGGACACGUUGGAUCAGUUUGAUUGAUAAUAUAUGGUUGCGAGGAACUUUAUGGGUUUUUCACCAAAAGAAGUUAUAAGCGCUUUUGCCUCCUGUCCCGUGAACUCUUUGUGGUGCAAUUUAGUGACCUUAUAACUACUUCCCAUGCAUACAACGAAAACGAUUAAAGAGCAUAUUUGAUCCACCGACACUCCUCUAGAAACCAGUCUUGAAAAUUUUUCUCUCAGUUAAAAGAUUUAAAAGCAGAAAAGUGGAAACUGCAUUACGUACUAAAUUCCAGACUUGUACAGUCAUAUGUUGAAGCUUUCAAUGUGGCCUGUGAUCCACCCAUGUAUCGUUGUUCUUCUACUAAUAGAACCAAAUUCAACCAUUUAAGAUCACCUUUCCGUUAUAAAUCUUCCAGAUGAAAUAGAAAUUAAGCAAGAAGAUUGACUCAAAACUUUGAAUCACCGCCACAAAUGAUCUAAAUUACUGAAAGAAUGAGAAACCACCCACGACUACUUUUUUCUUGAACGUUUUUUCCCUCUGAGAACUUUGACUUUCUGGAACCUACUGGGGCCAUAAUGGUUGUGUGUGUUCACUGUUCAGCACCCACCACCACCGAACCACCACUCGACACAAUUCACACCCACACCCACCACUGGAUCUGACUGGGUCCUUCAAAGCAUGGAGCCAGGGGAGGGUGUGGGCUGAGCCAGUUAAUGCCCCACCAGCGGACUCCAUACGAUAUUUUUCUAGGUCUUGGAGCGCCUGGUCAUGGGACCCACCCACCCCCACCCUUGCCGACGAACCUAACAAGAAAACCGUGCACCUCUCUUAAAUCUAGGGUAAUUGUGUCCGUAAUUUGCGUGGCCUUUUUCUCCUCUCACGCGCUUUUUAUCCCUUCCCCUUUUACACUUUACCCCCUAUCUCUCCGUCUGACUCUCUCUGUGCUUCCACCUUCUCUUUUUAAUACCCACUUUUUGCCCCUCCCAACCUCGCCAUUCAUUACUCAUUUCCUCCUUUUUGACCACUCAGAUUCAUUUGCAUUAUUCUAUUUCUAAAUUACACUUAUUUAUUUUUAUGUGUUUAGCAUCAAUAUGCAUCAUUUUACUUGUAAAUUAGUCACUGAUUUCAAAUUUUAACCGUUGGAUAUUUGUAAGACCGACACCCAACAUAAUACACCAACCCUAUUAAAUUCCGGAGAUUUCUUCGUACAAUUAUUUCACCAAUUGAUGGGAUGCACUUUUAUUCCUUGUCUCAAUAAAAUAUCUAACAUUCUGUACCUGAUUUUUUAAAAUAUAUAUUUAAAAAAAAAAAAAAAAAACCAUUUCUUUUUCUUGAGGUAAAAGGAGAAAGGUGAUACCCCUAUGGAAAACCUAAGGGUGGGUAAUACUAAUGGAGGGGCCAUGCCCUCCAUUCACUCCAAUUUCAAAUUCGGUUAAAAAGUAAUGUAUUUAAGACUAAUAUUAAAUAAUAAAAAAAUGAAAGGUGAGGCCACAAGCUGAGGUGGCUGAAAUUCAAUAGUAAAGUCUCUUGUCUAGCUGGCUUGGAGGUGUGCGAGUGUCAACACCCUUAAAACCUCAUCUAACGUUUGAUGCCACGUGGCAAAAUAACCUUGAAGUUUGGACUUUUUCUUGCGGUCAACAGCAACUGAAGCUGUGACAGCGUGACUGAGCCCUUGCCCACGUUGGAGUUGGAAACUUGGAACAGUGAUGACGACAUGGACCCUUAUCCCUCUGCCACGUGGAUUAAAUGAGCGUUACAGCUGGCCUCAGACGGCUGUCAUUUUGUCCUUCUCGAAUGGCUUCUUCUUCCAACGUGUCUCCCCUGUCCCACACGCUCCCUUGCUGACCUGUCAUCUUUAUGAACUGUUUAUCAUCUCCAUACGCUUUUUUUUCCUUCAAAUAUACUAUUUUUUUCGUUAUUAUUCCUGGUAGGCGCCACCGCGUCAUGAAUAAUUUUAGGAUAUUUUCUUUUUCUUUAAUUUUUGUUAAGUGGAGUUCAUCUACCCAUUCAAUUAUCAUGCUUCAUUAUUAUUAGUUUGAAUAAUAUGCACACCAUACAUCUAGCAAUAGAAAUUUCUACAUGACCCACAAACAUGGUGGAAUGAGAGAAAGAGAAACACACACAAAUUGGCCUAUUUUAAAAAUAAUAAUAAUUACGAAUUUUUUUAAUUAGCCAUAUUCUUUAUUUAACACUAUUAUUAAUUAAAAUUCAUUAAAUAUUUCAUAAAUUCAUGUAAUGUCAUUAUCAUUAUCUCUUUCUCAUGGCAUGCAAUAUUUUUGAAGCUCACGAUUGAUAAGUGAUGAAAGGCUUGCUUUUUUUUUAUUUUUUAUAAAUAAAUAAAUAAAUUUAUAUUUUGAUAGUGAUGUAAAAUAUAAUAGUAUAAUUUUAAAAUAAUAAUAAUAAUUAAAACUUGAUUUUCAAGUCACAGGGCGGUCUAUUUUUAAAAUCAUGAAAGUCGCUAGUUGACAUGAAGGUUCCAUGAGUUGGAAUUUUGGGAGUUAUAAAUCGCACCAAUGGGCGCGCCUAUAAUAAUAAUAAUAAUAAUAAUAAUAAAUAAUAUUUUUAAUAAUAAUGUCACCAAAAUACCAUUAUAAACAAUAACGGAGUCAUAACGCUGAACCGCUCUCAGCCGUCCGAUAGAAGGAUAUGUUAGAAAUUUGAGCGCCCCACCGUCUCGAGUUCCGCGCUUUUUAUCCAACGGAAAGCCACUUCGCCACGAAAGCGCGUAAACGGCGGUUACGGCCAUUAAGAAAUGGAAAAGAGGAGGGGCGUUAGGGUAAAUAAAGUCGGGGAGACUUAUGAGAGGCGGACGCGGUGCACCACAAAAGGGGUAUGAGCGCCGACGGUCCAGCGGAGCAGGACGUGACGCGUGGGCCCAAAACACACUUGUAUGGCGUCGCUUUCUUACAUCGGACACAGAUAUCAGCUUAGAGUGGGACCCGCCCCCUCUAUUUACUCUCUCCGCUACAUGUUCGCAAUUCACAUAUGAUGGUGAUGGUGAUGCUGAUGCUGAUGAUGCCCCCAUGCCCCAUGCAUUAUCAUGCUUUCAUGCACAUUAAGCUCUCGCCCAGUCCCCGUCAUUAAUGCUGUAACGUUUCCGUUGAUUCGUUAAGUGCGUUAAUCUGUCUUAUCCUUUGAAGUUAAAUGUCCAAAUUAGCCUCUCCCCAAUCCCCAUUCUCAGCUUUGAAAUAAUGAUUAUAUACCAGACAUUAGAAAAUAGGGCAAGGGACAAAGAAAUGUAAUUUUAUAAAAUAUUAGGUCAUUAAUCACCGAAUUAUAUUUUUAUAUUUGGGAAAAUAAAUAUUACAUUCUUCUUUUAAAAAUGUAAUGGAACUACGAAAAUGGGAAAGAGAAGGGCAAUAAUGUAAUUUCAGAAAACGUUACGCAGCAGUUCAUUUACUACACCAAAGUCUUAUGAUUUGACAAACAAGACCCGAAACAAACAAAGAAACAAACAGCCUCCCACUAUGGCACUAUCUAAUCUCUCCCUCCCCCUCACACCUAACCAAAAACACAAACAAAUUCUCGUUGCGGAAAACAAAAUCCCGCGAGAUUAACAAAUUCAAUUGAACUAUGCCGGACAUUCUCGCCGGUCAACUCGGCGGAGUUGGGCCCUCACAGACUCCCCCCUCUAACAACCCUCAGGAUUAUCCUUAUUCUUUAAAUACUUAACCAAUAUUUACCCUUCAAUUAAUUAAUUAAUUAGAAUUAGAGUGGGAGGGGGGUUUAGGUGGCUGAUUCCAAGCUUAAGCUUGUGGAGGUGAAUGGGAAUGGGAUUCAAAAAGCAAGAAUAAAGUCCCCCUCUUGAUAGAAAGAAAGAGGCACAGAAAAAAAAAGAAAAAAAGAAAAGGAGAGAGAGUGAAGAGAGAGAAUCUGGUGGGCUUUGAGCUGUGGUUUAGCUGUCUUCUGAUGGUGUUUAUUUCUUCUCUCACACACACAUCUCCAAAAAUCAACAACCCUUAGCCUAGCCCCCUCUUCCUUCCCAUAUCUUCAAUCUCUCUCUCUCUCUUUCUGUAUACAUUUUUCUUCACUCUCUCGCUCUUUCUGUUUUCUGAUUCAGUUCUCCGAUCAUCUUCUUCUGGAUAUCUCUCCCGCAUUUUGGACUCAGAUCUUAAGGGAGGUUUUGCAGGAACUCAGUCGGGGUUGUUUGUGAGUCAGAUGUCUGGUGUGAGAUGAAGAAGAAGACCCAUCUCCUCCAUUUUGUUCUUCUUCACUCUCUCCUCUUCUUGGGCUGCCUCGCUCUCUGUUCUGCGGAGCAGAUCUCUAUUUCCAGCCAUGGCCACCUCACUGACGCGGAAGUUAUGUACAUUAAGCGGCGUCAACUUCUGUACUACAGAGACGAGUUUGGUGACAGAGGGGAGGAUGUGACUGUGGAUCCUUCUCUGGUGUUUGAGAACCCUAGGCAGAGGAACGCCUACAUUGCGUUGCAAGCUUGGAAACAGGCCAUUCUAUCUGAUCCUCUUAAUCUUACGCUCAACUGGGUUGGAUCUAAUGUGUGUAACUACACCGGGGUUUACUGCGCACAAGCUCCGGACAAUUCGUCCAUCCGUACCGUCGCCGGCAUUGAUCUCAACCAUGGAGACAUCGCCGGGUACUUGCCGGAGGAGCUAGGUCUGCUAACUGAUCUUGCAUUGUUCCACAUCAACUCCAACCGCUUCUGUGGGACUGUUCCGCAUAAGUUUGCGAAGCUCAAGAUACUGUUUGAAUUGGAUCUCAGCAACAAUAGGUUCGCCGGGAAGUUCCCGGAAGUGGUGCUUCACUUGCCAACGCUGAAAUUCUUAGAUCUGCGAUUCAAUGAGUUUGAAGGAACCGUGCCGAAGGAGCUGUUUGAUAAGGAUUUGGACGCCAUUUUCAUCAACCACAACAGGUUCGCCUUCGAUCUGCCUGACAACUUCGGUAACUCGCCGGUGUCGGUGAUAGUUGUAGCGAACAACAAGCUCCACGGCUGCGUGCCGGCGAGUCUGGGCAACAUGGCGGACACGCUGAAUGAGAUAAUUCUGAUGAAUAAUCAGUUCCGAUCGUGCUUGCCUGUUGAGAUCGGAUUGUUGAAGAAUUUAACUGUGUUGGAUGUCAGUUACAAUGGAUUGUUGGGACCGUUGCCGAAAGAGAUUGGUGGAAUGGUGGAGCUUGAGCAGCUCAAUGUGGCUCACAAUAUGCUCUCUGGGAGUAUUCCUGCCAGUAUUUGUAAGCUUCCAAAUCUUGAAAAUUUUACAUUUUCAUAUAAUUUCUUCACCGGCGAGCCACCGGCAUGUUUGGGUUUGGCGGAUUUCGAAGAUAGGAGGAAUUGCUUGCCAGGGAGGCCGGAGCAGAGGUCCGCCGGGCAAUGUAACUCGUUUUUGUCCCGACCUGUUGAUUGUAGCUCUUUCAGGUGUUCUCCUUUUGUUCCUUCUUUACCUACUCCCCCACCACCCUCACCACCGGUGUUCCCCUCUCCACCCCCGACACCGGUUUACUCACCUCCACCGGUGUUCUCGCCUCCGCCACCGGUGCUCUCUUCCCCACCACCACCAUCACCGCCACCGCCAUCUCCUUCGCCUCCACCACCUCCAGUUUACUCCCCUCCUCCACCUCCACCAGUUUACUCACCUCCACCACCCCCUCCUCCCCCACCGCCACCACCACCUGUUUAUUUUCCGCCACCACCUCCACCUUCACCACCACCACCGUCUCCCCCUCCACCCUCACCCCCACCACCUUCUCCAUCACCGCCUCCCCCUCCCUCGCCACCACCACCGGUAUUAUCGCCCCCGCCUCCAGUUUAUUGCGUCCGUUCCCCACCACCGCCACCGCCAAAUUCUCCCCCGCCUCCCAUUUAUUCUCCACCACCACCUCCAGUUCAUUCACCGCCCCCACCAAGUCCUUACUAUAGUUCACCACCGCCCCCGCCGCCACAUCAUUCACCUCCACCACCUCCCCACUCGCCACCCCCGCCUCCACCUAUCUAUCCAUACGCAUCACCGCCACCGCCACCCGUGCAUUCCCCACCACCACCUGUCCAUUCUCCACCACCUCCAUGCAUAGAACCGCCUCCUCCUUCUCCACCACCCCCAUCACCACCUCCAUGCAUAGAACCGCCUCCUCCUCCUUCUCCACCACCAUGUGUAGAAUAUUCGCCACCUCCACCAUCACCACACUCACCACCGCCACCACCAGUUCAUUACUUGCCUCCACCAUCACCAUCACCCCCACCACCACCUGUGUAUGCUUCUCCGCCACCUCCACCAUCUCUGCCUCCCCCAGUUUACUACCAUUCUCCGCCCCCACCCUCACCACCUCCUCCAACCCCAUGUGAAAAUCCUCCACCUACUCCAUCACCACCGCCCCCAAUCAUUUAUGAGAGCCCACCACCUCCAACCCCUGUAUAUGAGGGGCCAUUGCCACCAAUCUUUGGAGUUUCAUACGCUUCUCCACCGCCACCACCCUUCUAUUGAUUCUUUUGAGAAUUUUCCUCCUCUUGACAUUUCCUCAAAGAAACAAAAUUUACAAUUAUAUUAGUGGUCAUGGCCUCUUUUCCCUGUUCUCCAUCAAAACUUCUUCCUCUUUGGGCAAUUCUCGUCGCCGGGUGAGGACUAAUAAGAAGAUUCAAAAUGUCAUAGAGCUUAAUGAAUUAUUGCGGCAAAGGUGCUUCACCAUGGUGGGUAUUAGUUGUUGA